rnacentral:lncRNA from 1 species
UUUUUUCUCCUGGGCCGGGCUAAUUGAGCCCAACCAUUUUCUUCUCUUUUAUCUUUUUUUUUAGUUCCUGUCCGGUUGCCUCUCCGAGCUCCGGCGGCCGGCGACCGUGGGUGCUCCCAAACCCCCGCGUGCCAAUAGGGCAACCGACCGGCACAUUUCGGUUCGAACCGAACCGACCGAGCUGUAACCCCUAAGUGGCUUGAGGUCUGCUCACUGGCUCACCGCAUCGCAUCCUCGCUGAUCGGCGCUCAACCACCAGCACCGGCGGCGGCGAGUAACCUCAAGGGCGCGGCGCUGGCUCUUCUCCGUCUCCUCGCUGCCACGGACGUCCACGACCUCCUCCCCCUCAUACCCACCCACCCCUCCCAACUCCAAUGGCAGCAUGCCCGCCAGCUGCUCGACGAAAUGAAACGGCCGACCAACUGACCAGCAUCCAUGCCCAAUCUACUCGAUGGUACGUGUCUCGGAUCCCAUUCUUCAUUCUGCAAUCUUGUGUCACUGAAUGUGUGAACUGUAAUCUGUUGAACUGAGUGCAUUCCAGGCAGGCAAUGGAGGCGCCCCAAAUAUUUUGAUGAAGGGUGUGAUGGUGUUUGUUCUUGUUACACGCCGAGUGCCGCUGCAUGCGCCGACUUGAUUUAGUUCAUCGGAAAGUUGGGUAAAUCUGAUGUCAAGUCGCUGCACAUUACAGUAUUUUGUAGUGUUGCAUUUUACUACUGCUGCUGCCACUAAAGGAACCAUCACUUGCUGAAAUAUUCACCGAGUUGAACAAUUUGUGGUCUGCAAAAUGUGAUUAGGCUCAACCACAAGCUCUAGGAACAUCAGACAUAGUCAGUUUUAAGUUUGCACAUAUCUACUAUACAUUUCAUUGAUUGAUUGCUUUGCUUCUUGUAUGUUCAUACUUUCUGCGGAUAUACUGUUUUUUCAUAGUGUUCAAGCACCCUGUUAUAUCUAGUUAUGCACCUUGUGGCUGCUCUGCCAGGUUACUUUAUAUUUUUAUUUUGAGAAAAAGUUGCUUCAUGUUAUAUCUACUGAUAUAAGAUCCCACGCCGUUGUUUAUUUAAGACUUCCACAAGUUAACUUCUCGUGAGGCUGUUAGCGUACUACGGCAUUUCAGUCCACUACAAUAGCUGAAUAAUUUACCUUACUAAGUGAACCCACUAAGUCAUCAUAUACUUUUAAUUAGUGUGGCUCUGAAAAUUGGGUAGUUCUCAGAUUCUGGUAGAAUGAUUAGCUUGAAUUGCUGUGGUAACUAGUAGUGUUGUACAACGUGACCAUAUGGCAGCAUGUUUUAUUGCCUGCUGGUUGCAUAAUGUCUGUCAACAUGAUUUAUCAUCACCAUCUAGAAGUGUAUCUCACUCUGUGGUAUUUCCGACUUCAAUCAUGAUAUAUGAAGCUUUAUGUGCAGCUACGGAAACUAGGUUGAUUGAGUUAGCAUGAAUUCUGGGGAUGUUAUAUCUUUCGAGUUUCAACUGCAUGACUACUAGAUAUAGUUGACCAACUGUGAGCCUUGACAUUCAGAAUACUAGGGGUUGCAUGUUUCUCAGUUUUGACUUUGCACAAAGCUACUACACAUGAUUGCUCAGCUUCUUAUGUUCAUAUUUUCUGCACAUUACACUGUUUUGUCUCAGUUUUCAAGUACCCUGUUAUGUCUAGUUGUGCACCUUGUGGCUGCUGUACCAAGUUGCUUCAUGUUGAUCCCACGCUGUAUUUUAUUUCAGGCUUCUACAAGUUAACUUCACUAGUGAUGCUAUUAAAAUACCCACUACAGUAGCAGAAUAAUUUACCUUGCUUAGUGAACCCACUAACUCAUCAUAUAUACUGUUACAUAAUCUGGCUCACUUGUUACCAAAAUUUAUGCAUCGCUAAGACCUUAAGGCCCCGCUUGGAAUCGGUAUAUCUUUAUACACCUGUAUUUAUUUUACAGAUGUGUAUCAUCAGCCACACUUGAUUUCCACCUGAAAAAAAAAACGAUAGAUGGAGGCAUGUAUAUUUUACAGGGGUAUUGCUCCGCGAAACGAGAAUCCAAUCAGGGCCCAAGUGUUCGGUGAAAUAAUAACAUGUAGCUUCACUUUAUUACACUCUGACUCAGUUCUUCUGCUCUGUGUUACUAAACCACGUCUUUACUUAUCCUAAUCAGAGGACGUCUUUUGUUAUUUAUAGGCCCGGAAACUAGAAUUCACAAGCUUGCAAGCGUCACAACUGAGGCCUUUGACGCGCGGCGCAUGGAUGCAGGCAUACGCUGUCGAGAGAGCUAAGCUGAGUACCUGAUGGACUUUUGUGGUUCUGUAGUGAGUUCGGUAAUGAUGUUAAGUUGCUACACUGUUUUGUAUCAGAGGUCUGUAUUUAACUAUGGCUGGAGAUCAUUCUCUAGUAACUGAAAAAGACAAGUCUGAGUUGGAAACUUUGGCCAGAAGGAGCAGCUUGGUUAUUGGCAACUUAUUUCUCCAGUAAUUUUUGUAUGCAAUUUGUGAAUGCUCUUUUGUAUUGAAUGGCUUGGGCGCAAGCGAAAUCGUGUUUUGUGUCUUCUUUUUAGAACUUCAAGCAUUCAGCAAGGUGAAGAUAUUCCAGCAUUGUGAAUUUUGUUUGUAAGGUUGAUUCCGUGGAAGCUGUUUAUACAACAGACCUUCAUAGCAAGUCCAACCAACACUUCAAAUUUGACUCCUCAAAUCCCCAUAUGGAGAGUCAUUCCAAAAGAUUUUCUUCAUAUUUUUCCUUAUGCUCCAACCGACUCCUCAAAUCCCACCCAUCUAUAUUUUUUAUUAAUUUUUGUAACUACCUAAGUUUGUAAUAGCUUUAAUAUCUAAAGGCUAUAUUUUUCAAUGGCUAUACUUUUUGGAUAUAGAAAUAUAAUAUAUAGGAGGAGAGUCAGCUUGUUUGGUGCAUCCUCUACCAAAUUCAGUUUGCUUAUCCUUGUCUCUCCCUAUUUUUCCUCCACCAGCGUCGAGGUAUUUCCCCGGCAAUUCGCAUCUAAGGAUAGAAUAAAUGUCAGAGAUUCAGAUAGUGGGCACGAGGAGAUUUACCCAUGGUUAGGCCCUCAUAUCGAGGUAAUACCAUACUUGCUUGUCUCGGUAUUGAUGAACCUAGCCUCGUAUGAGAACUGCGGUUUUUGUUUACAUGGGUUUGAUCGUAAGAUCGUGUAGGGGUGCCUGCCUCGGACUCUUGGAUAUGAGAUUGUCAGGUAUCUAUCAGGGCGUCCCUGCCGGACAUUAUAUAAGUGGCCCACAUUAUAUAGGUGGCCCAUGACAGGGUUACAUGAUUAGAGUCGGUUACGAGUUGUUCUACGUAAGGUAUGUGAAACCAUGUCGGCUAUCACAUGCCAUAUACACAAGACCUAGCUAGAUACAUAGAAGAGUCAUUGUCUCGUGCCCCAAGGUGGCAAUGCGCCCUAUAUCGUCUAUGGACUCCCAGUAGCGGGCUUGGGCCGCCCCAUCUUCGAUGGGUCUCUUCUGUCUUUUGUCGAUACACCCCCCGGGGCCUCACAUUGUUAGUAGCCGCUGAGCUCUUCAUGUUUGGUUGGUAGUUGGCUGGUGAUACGUCUCCAACGUAUCUAUAAUUUUGAUUGUUCCAUACUAUUAUAUUAUCUGUUUUGGAUGUUUAAUGGGUUUUAAUAUGCUCUUUUAUAUUAUUUUUGGGACUAACCUAUUAACCGAAGGCUCAGUGCCAGUUUUUUUUUUGUCUAUUUCAGUGUUUUGCAGAAAAGGAAUACCAAACGGAAUCCAAACGGAACGAAACCUUCACGAGGAUCUUUCUUGAAACAAACGCAAUCCAGAAGACUUGGAGUUGAAGUCUGGAACACCGCGAGGCGGUCACGAGGCAGGAGGGCGCGCCCAGGGGGUAGGCGUGCCCCCCACCCUCAUGGGCCCCACGGAGCUCCACCAACCUAUUUCUUCCGCCUAUAUAUACUCUUAUACCCUAAAACAUCAGGGGGAGCCACGAAACCAAUUUUCCACCGCCGCAACCUUCUGUACCCGUGAGAUCCCAUCUUGGGGCCUUUUCCGGCGCUCCGCCGGAGGGGGAAUCGAUCACGGAGGGCUUCUACAUCAACACCAUAGCCUCUCCGAUGAUGUGUGAGUAGUUUAUCACAGACCUUCGGGUCCAUAGUUAUUAGCUAGAUGGCUUCUUCUCUCUCUUUGAUUCUCAAUACAAAGUUCUCCUCGAUGUUCUUGGAGAUCUAUUCGAUGUAACAUUCUUUUGCGGUGUGUUUGACGAGAUCCGAUGAAUUGUGGAUUUAUGAUCAAGUUUAUCUAUGAAUAAUAUUUGGUUCUUCUCUGAAUUCUUAUAUGCAUGAUUUGAUAUCUUUGCAAGUCUCUUCGAAUUAUCGGUUUAGUUUGGCCUACUAGAUUGAUCUUUCUUGCAAUAGGAGAAGUGCUUAGCUUUGGGUUCAAUCUUGCGGUGUCCUUUCCUAGUGACAGCAGGGGCAGCAAGGCACGUAUUCUAUUGUUGCCAUCGAGGAUAAAAAGAUGGGGUUUAUAUCAUUGCUUGAGUUUAUCCCUCUACAUCAUGUCAUCUUGCUUAAUGCGUUACUCUGUUCUUAUGAACUUAAUACUCUAGAUGCAUGCUGGAUAGCGGUCGAUGUGUGGAGUAAUAGUAGUAGAUGCAGAAUCGUUUCGGUCUACUUGACACGGACGUGAUGCCUAUGUUCAUGAUCAUUGCCUACAUAUUCUCAUAAUUAUGCGCUUUUCUAUCAAUUGCUUGGCAGUAAUUUGUUCACCAACCGUAAUACAUGUUAUCUUUAGAGAAGCCACUAGUGAAACCUAUGGCCCCCGGGUCUCUUUCCUAUUAUAUUACAUCUCUUUUAUUUACAUCACAUCUCAUUUACUAUUUUGCAAUCUUUACUUUCCAAUCUAUACAACAAAAAUACCAAAAAUAUUUACUUUAUUAUCUUUAUCAGAUCUCACUUUUGUGAGUGACCGUGAAGGGAUUGACAACCCCUUUAUCACGUUGGUUGCAAGGUUCUUGAUUGUUUGUGCAGGUACUAGGCGAUUUGCGUGUAGUCUCCUACUGGAUUGAUACCUUGGUUCUCAAAAACUGAGGGCAAUACUUACGCUACUUUGCUGCAUCACCCUUUCCUCUUCAAGGGAAAACCAACGCAUGCUCAAGAGGUAGCAGCUGGCAACACGGGGCCUCCGGUGCGGGAGUUUGACACGGUCCUCCUGCCCGGGGCUCGUCACUCCUCGCGCGGUGUCCGGCAUUCGGUCGCCCUGGAGUCGGUGCAUGACUCUGGGCUGCCUCCGUUCCGGUCAAGAUGGGGUAGUUGGCCGGCAACACGAACUAGCCUCCGGUGCGGGAGUUUGACACGGUCCUCCUGCCUGGGGCUCGUCGCUCCUCGCGCGGUGUCCGGCGUUCGGUCGCCCUGGAGUCGGUGCACGACUCUGGGCUGCCUCCGUUCCGGUCAAGAUGGGGUAGUUGGCCGGCAACACGGACUGGCCUUCGGUGCGGGAGUUUGACACGGUCAUCCUGCCCGGGGCUCAUCGCUCCUCACGCAACGUCCGGCGUUCGGUCGCCCUAGAGUCGGUGCACGGCUCUGGGCUGCCUCCGUUCCGGUCAAGAUGGGAGCUUGUGGUUCGAUUGGGGGGCAUCUUCUCGUUAUGGCGUUGAUGAAGGACCGUGGCGGUGGUGGUCAGGACAGCGUUGUGUCGGCAGUCGGAUCUGUGCCGUAGGCUGCCGAUUUGGCAUCGUCCGAGUUGAUGGCUCGACGAUGGCCGUCGGUAGCCACGUCGAAGCUCUUCUUUCCGAUCGAUCUAUCCAAAAGUUUGUACUAAAAUAACACCAAAUAAUUUCAGAUUCAUAAUACUCAAUCCAACACAAAGAACCUCAAAGAGUGCCCCAAGAUUUCUACUGGAUAAACAGAGACAAGAACGUGCAUCAACCCCUAUGUGUAGAUUACCCCAAUGUCACCUCGGGAAUCCGCGAGUUGAGUGCCAAAACAUAUAUCAAGUGAAUCAAAAUAAUACCCCAUUGUCACCACGGGUAUUCAUAUGCAAGACAUAUACCAAGUGCUCUCAAAUCCAUAAAAGUAUUCAAUCCGAUAAAACGAAAUCUCAAAGGGAAAACUCAAUUCAUCACAACAAGAUAGAGAGGGGAAAACACCAUAUGAUCCAACUAUGUUAACAAAGCCCCUGAUACAUCAAGAUCGUGCCAUCAAGAACACGAGAGAGAGAGAGAGAGAGAUUAAACACAUAGCUACUGGUACAAACCCUCAGCCCCGAGGGUGGACUACUCCCUCCUCAUCAAGGUGGCCGCCGGGAUGAUGAAGAUGGCCACCGGUGAUGAUUUCCCCCUCCGGCGGAGUGCCAGAACGAGGUCUAGAUUGGUUUUCGUGGCUACAGAGGCUUGCGGCAGUGGAACUUCUGAUCUAGGGUUACCCCAAGGGUUUUUGGAAUAUUUGAUGAUUUAUAGGGCAAGGAGGGGGUGCGGGAGGCCAUCGAGGUGGGCACCCCCCAGAUGCUUCUCUGGCCCACUGGAUGUCUUCUGGUCCAUAAAAAAUCCACAAAAAGUUUCGCGGUGUUUGGACUCCGUUUGAUAUUGAUUUCCUGUGAUGUAAAAAACAAGUAAAAACAGCAACUGGCACUGGGCACUGGGUUAAUAGGUUAGUCCCAAAAAAUGAUAUAAAGUUGCUAUAAAAUAAUUGUAAAACAUCCAAGAAUGAUAAUAUAACAGCAUGGAUACUUCAUAAAUUAUAGAUACGUUGGAGACGUACCACCCCACGCGUGCCAGGUUUGUCUGGUGGUCGUUCCGGCUUCUCCGGAUAUAAGCAAACAGAUGAGGAUAUUAAAAACCUUUUAAAUGUUUGUCUCUUGAUCUUCGACUGACAAGGACACAGUGAAGACAAUCGACACGUGUCAACAUAAUGCAUAUGAAGAUUAAGAGAGAGUAGGAGAGAUAAGAAUAGAAAAGGUUAGGGUCCGAUCACAUUCACUUAGUGCAGAAAAAGGCAACUUGAAGACAUAGCUAUAAGUGUUGUAGAGGAUAGAACAUAUAUAUUAAAAAACAGUAUAACACAGCUAGUUAGGAGCCUCCACAGCAAUUUGACUGUCUCACCCGUCGGAUCCUAGAACGAACGAUACAGAUCAAAGUCGGGCGUCCCUGGUCGCCCGCGCACUUUGCACACCGUCUCUUGGGCCGCUGCUCCGCGGAACUACCUCCGGUUCCUGCCAGUAAUCGGGCCAUGAAGGCCCACUUAUUCCGACUCAGACGCGAACAGCCCAUCUUUCCCAUGUUUCAGCGCUAUCCCAACCCCGAACGAACAGUUCAUACAUGCAGUCGUUCCUUCGUCCUCUCGAUGCGCCGGCGUUCCUUCAUCCUCGAUGCGCCGGCGAUCCGCCAUGGGCGAGAUUAUGCUGCGCGACUGCCCUCACGCCGGUACGCCCCCCAACCCCCACUCUUCCUCCGUAGCCCCUUCCUGCUACAUCGUCCUCCAUGCCUUCCAGCUCUACCGCACGCCCCUUCCCCUCCCGUAACGAGCCGCCAUACAUGAAGCAGCGGCCCAAGACACGGUUUUCGACGAGCGCGGGCGGACAGGGACGAUGUUGGGCAGAAGUCUUUGGUGUCUCUGUAUGUGUUCCAUUCCCUGUUCCGGGUUCUCACCCUCCACAUACAAAGAAUCAUUCGGAUUAACUAAACUAAUCACAUCAUGCAGGUUUGGGAGGAAAAGACCAGUAGACAUGCAAUCAAGGUGACUUCUUACAUCAGUUCCUCAACCAACAGUCCUUUUUCUGUUUUCUAUGUCUUGUUUUUUAAAACCUUUGGCAGUUACGGCUUCAUCUGGAGAAUUUUCAAAGCUGUCUGCAUGUUUUGUUAUAUCCAACAAAAUUCAUUCCCAGUUUCCAAGCCUGAAGUAUCAACUUUGCAUCUAACUUAUGAUGGAUUCUAAUUGAUUUGGGUGUCAAACAGAUCAAGUCCAAAGUUUCAGUAAAUAUGUUCUCAUGCUUAGUACAUAUUACACUUUUUUGGUCUUCAAUGGUAUUGUGGUUACCUAUGUAGGUAGUACUUCGUCUUCAGUUGCUGCUCCACCGUAAGCUGUAUGUUAUUCAACUCCUGAUGUAGCCACUCCCACCCUCUUGCUUCAGUCAAGAAGACCGAGAUGAGGGCCAGAAGGAAGGACUGUAGUAAAGACGAGUACCAGGGCAGCAUCGUUAGCAUCGCAAAGUGGGCACAAAAGGUAAUAAACUCCGGACAUUUUCUCGUGUUAUUUCUAUGCAUGAUUUGUCUCUAGAUCCAGUUGUUCCUUUCAUGAGUUGUUAAAAGUUUGCGUUAAUCUAUUUUUCAGAAAUUGUGUGUGCUCUUUCAAAAAUGAAUUUUUCCCCUCCUGGAGAGGCGGUGAGGCACCACGUACGGUUUCUUGACUGAUGGAUGUGUCCCACUCGGCUUGAUCAAAUGCAUUCUUGCCAGAUCCUUCUGUUUAAUCUUUCUUGUUACUACCAUCAAAAUGUGCCUGAUGACAUCAGCAAUGAAAAACAAACCAACUUAAAAAUAAGCAACAUAUAGUUUUGCUAUGAACAAAUUUAUAUUUUAUGGCUGCAAAUAUAUAUUUUUAGCAGUACCUAUCAUUUAAUUGUAAAACUUGUCGGGCGCGACAACGUGCACCAUUAUGGUCUAGUAUAUAUANNNNNNNNNNNNNNNNNNNNNNNNNNNNNNNNNNNNNNNNNNNNNNNNNNNNNNNNNNNNNNNNNNNNNNNNNNNNNNNNNNNNNNNNNNNNNNNNNNNNNNNNNNNNNNNNNNNNNNNNNNNNNNNNNNNNNNNNNNNNNNNNNNNNNNNNNNNNNNNNNNNNNNNNNNNNNNNNNNNNNNNNNNNNNNNNNNNNNNNNNNNNNNNNNNNNNNNNNNNNNNNNNNNNNNNNNNNNNNNNNNNNNNNNNNNNNNNNNNNNNNNNNNNNNNNNNNNNNNNNNNNNNNNNNNNNNNNGAAGACCAAAUCAAACAUUGAGAAGAUAAAUUAUGAAGAUGAACCAAUGUUGAAGACAAAUUAACUUUGAAGAUAAUGCAACAUGACGCCAAACAAAAAUCUUCAAGAAAUAUUGGUGGUGGCAAUACCCACCGUAUAGGAAGUAUUAGACCCAGACACGGCGCACAAUUACGUGGCGCUCCGAAGUCAAAUUCCGCAUUAAUGUAUUCACACUCAAUGGGUAUGUCUUCAUGAAUUGAAGACAUACGUUACUUUGUGUGUUGCACACCUAAGUCAUCAAUAUGCAUAAGCGUUAGGAUGUGUGUCCAUUCACAGGACAUUUGAGGAUUCUAAGAUAUUUAGGUCACACCGCAGCUUGCAAAACCUUUUCUCAUCCAAGGGCUUUGUGAAGAUAUCUGCCAAUUGCUCUUGAGUGUUGAUGUGAAUGAUACCAAUGUCUUUCUUCAACACAUGAUCUCUGAGAAAGUGAUGAUGGAUCUGAAUGUGCUUUGUUUUCGAGUGCUGAACUGGAUUGUGAGCAAUCUUGAUGGCGCUUUCAUUGUCUCAGUAGAGUGGCACAUUCUUCAUGUUGAUGCCAUAGUCCUUUAGUGUUUGCUUCAUCCAGAGAAGCUGAGCGCAGCAAGAUCCAGCAGCAAUGUAUUCUGAUUCAACAGUGAAGAGUGAUACAGAGUUCUUCUUCUUUGAAGACCAACAAACAAGAGAUCGUCCAAAAAAGUGGCAUGUGCCUGAUGUAGACUUGCGAUCAACCUUGUCACCAGCAUAAUCAGCAUCUGAGAAUCCAACUAGAUCAAACUCUGAGCCCUUUGGAUACCAUAAUCCUAGCGUUGGGGUGUGAGCCAAAUAUCGAAGAAUUCGAUUCACUGCAAGGUGAUGCGACUCCUUUGGUGCCGCUUGGAAUCGGGCACACAUGCAAACGCUAAGCAUUAUAUCUGGCCUAGAUGCACAUAGGUACAAUAAAGAACUAAUCAUGGAGCAGUAUACCUUUUGAUCGAACUCUUUACCAUUAUCGUCGGGGCCCAAUUGGCCUUUGGUUGGCAUUGGCGUCGUGUACCCUUUGCAGUCUUGCAUUCCAAACUUCUUCAAACAAUCUUGGAGAUACUUUUCUUGUGAGAUGAAUAUGCCAUUUCUCUGUUGACGGAUUUGAAUACCAAGGAAGAAUUUCAGCUCUCCCAUCAUGGUCAUCUGAUAUUGCUCUUGCAUCAUAUGCCCAAAUUCAUCACUGUAUCUCUUGUCAGUGCAGCCGAAGAUAAUGUCAUCCACAUAGAUUUGGCAUACAAACAGCUCUCCAUCAUAUGUCUUCGUGAAGAGAGUGGGGUCUAGAGAACCAGGUUUGAAGCCUUUGCUCUUCAGGAAGUCUUUGAGUGUGUCAUACCAAGCGCGAGGAGCUUGUUUGAGGCCAUACAGUGCCUUGUUGAGCUUGUAGACCAUAUCAAGACGCUUUGGAUCUUCAAAACCGGGUGGUUGAGCUACAUAUACUUCUUAUUCAAUCUUACCAUUGAGGAAAGCACUCUUCAUAUCCAUUUGAUAGAGAAGGAUGUUAUUGUGGUUAGCAUAGGCUAGCUGUAUGCUAAUGGCUUCAAGCCUAGGCACAGGAGCAAAGGUUUCAUCAAAGUCAAUUCCGUCCACUUGUGUGUAACCUUAAGCAAUGACGAGCUUUAUUUUUGACCUUUGGUUGGCAUCUCCAUGUUCAUUUUGUUUGUUACGGUUUAUCCAUUUGGUGCCAAUAAUAUUGUUCUUGCAGGGAUCAGGACGCUUGACUAGCUCCCAGACAUUGUUGAGCUCAAAUUGUUGAAGCUCUUCUUGCAUAGCUUGAAUCCAUUCAGGUUCCAUGAAGGCUUCAUCAACUUUCUUGGGUUCAGAUAUGGAGACGAAUGCAAAGUGCCCACAGAAGUUUGCUAGUUGCGUAGCUCUUGAUCGAGUAAGAGGACUAGGUGCAUUGAUACUAUCAAGAAUCUUCUCAAUCUGAACUUCAUUGGCCACGCGAGGAUGAAUAGGGCGAAGAGUUUGCUCUUGCUGAUCAUUGUCUUCAUCUUCAGCAUUGUCUUCAGGCUGAGCAUUGUCUUCAUGUUGAGUAGGAGCUGGAAUGACAAUUUCCUCUUCUGACUGUUCCUCGGUGGGUAUGAUUUCUCCAGUACCCAUUAGCUUGAUAGAUUCACUAGGAGAAGCUUCAUCUAGCACAUUUGGCAGGUGCUCUCUUUGCGAGCUGUUAGUCUCAUCGAACCGCACAUCUACAGUUUCAACCACUUUAUAGUGAAAGAGGUUGAAGACCCUGUAGGUGUGUAAAUCCUUUCCGUAACCAAGCAUAAAACCUUCAUGUGCUUUCGGUGCAAAUUUGGAAGUGUGAUGUGGAUCCUUGAUCCAGCACCUAGCACCGAAGACUUUGAAAUAGCUAACAUUUGGCUUCUUACCAGUGAGCAGUUCAUAGGAUGUCUUCUUUAAGAAUUUAUGAAGAUAAACUCUGUUGAUGAUAUGGCAUGUAGUAUCAAUGGCGUCAGGCCUGAACUUUCUUGGAGUCUUGUACUCAUCAAGCAUCGUACGAGCCAUCUCAAUGAGAGUCUUGUUCUUGCGCUCCACGACGCCAUUCUGCUGACGUGUGUAUGGAGCAGAGAGCUCAUGAGUGAUGCCCAGUGUAUCAAGAUAAGUGUCGAGGCCAGUGUUCUUGAAUUCCGUGCCAUUGUCACUCCUGAUGUGCUUGAUCUUGAUGCGAUAGUUAGUCAUGGCACGAUUGGCGAAUCGUCUGAAGACAUCCUGCACUUCAGUCUUGUAGAGAAUUAUGUGCACCCAAGUAUAUUAAGAAUAAUCAUCAACAAUUACGAAGCCAUAAAGAUGUGUGGUGGUAGUAAGGGUAGAGUAGUGAGUAGAGCCAAAUAAGUCCAUGUGUAACAACUCGAAGGGACGUGAUGUCGUCAUUAUUGUCUUCGAGGGAUGCUUUGCCCUAGUCAUCUUCCCGACUUCACAAGCACCACAUAGAUGAUCCUUCUUGAACUUGACACCCUCGAUGCCAAUAAUGUGCUUCUUCUUCACGAGAGUGUGCAAGUUCCUCAUGCCCACAUGUCCUAGCCUUCGAUGCCAAAGCCAGCACUCUGAAGCUUUUGCUAGAAGACAUACGACAAGCUGUGGUCCUGUGGAUAAAUAUACCAUAUACAUAUCACCUCUUCGAUAACCUUCGCAGACUAGAGAUUUGUCAGAAGCCAUAAGCACAAGGCAACGAUAUUUUCCAAAUAUCACAAUCAUGUCAAGAUCACAAAGCAUUGAGACAGACAUUAAGUUGUAUCCAAGGAAUUCAACAAGCAUCACUUUAUCCAUGUGUUGAUCCUUUGAGAUAGCAACUCUACCUAGGCCCAAUACCUUGCUUUUACCAGUGUCAGCAAAUGUGAUAUGGCUUUUAGUAGAUGGUCGGAGAGUUGAAUCCAUGAGAAGACUUCGAUCACCAGUCAUGUGGUUAGUGCAUCCACUGUCCAUAAUCCAUUCAGUAGCUUUCGGAGUCGUACCCUACAGUGCAGUUAGCGGGAUAGGCUUCACCAAGAGUAUUGUGAAGCACAAACAUUUGACGGACAAGCAUACUAUCAAAAUUAAGAUUCCUGGAUGGUAAGAUGGGGUGCUCAUCAAGAAAUCCUGGGACGAAAUAAAUGGUAAGACCAUUUUGGCACUUUAUCUUGCGUCCCACAAGAUGUUUUAGGUCCCCAGCAUUGUCUUCAGAAUUCAAUGAUUUUCGUCUGGAGACCCUUCCCUGCAAGAGACGUUAAUUCUUCUUAACCACCCACAUCUUAAGGGGUGGCUUAGAAGGAAUGAGUGUAAGUGCAGCAUCUGAGAACUUUGGCUUUGGAGCCCUAGCAAAUAGUUUUGCAGGAGGUGAAUAGUACUCAUAAGAAUAUGCAGAAAAGUUCUUUGACUUGUGAACAUAGCGAUUUGAAGAAACACGCUCAUAUUCAUGAGUCUGAUGAUAGUUUCCCUGCAAAACAUUGGCGUUAGGGUGACCUUGUGAGGUCUUCUGUCUGUAUGAAGCCUUUGGGCUAUAUGAAGCCUUUGCUCCGGUGUUUGUCUUCUUCCCUGGUGGUGUCAUGAUGGCAUUCACAGAAAGCUUCUUAAGACAACUUCUGGGAACCCAGAUCUUCUUCAUAGGAGACUCAUUCCUAAGUUAGUUACAACAAACCUGUCAAACACUUAACCGUUCUGAUUCUUGAACAGUUUAUAGUUUGAGUCAAAUGACUCAUCAAUGACAAUAGGGUUAGCACAAGUGAAGCCAGAUAAGGUGGAUGGAUCCACUGAGGGACCCUUCACAGCAACCCAUGUGGUUUUGGGGUACUGCUCAGGCUUCCAGUAAGAACCAUUAGCAUUCAUUUUCCUCUCGAAACAUUUUCCUCUCGAAACCAACACCCUCUUUCCUAGGGUUUCUUUCAAAAUCUGUUCUUGAGGACAUCACAAAGUGUUUGAUGCCCUUUGAGGCUUUAGUACAUGCAUGUUUCAAGCAAUGUCUUCAACCUGGCAUUCUCAUCAGCAAUAGUAGUGGUAUCCUCAGAAGAGGGGUUAGUUGCCACAUCAACAGUUGAAGAUAAUGCAACCUCAGAAGCAGUAGAACAUUCAGCAACAAAGGUAGCAUUGUCGCGCUCAAGACAUUUUAAGCAACGUGGUACAAAGUCUUCCUGAGCGGAACUGAUCUAUUGAGCGAGUAGUAAAUCGUUUUCCUUUUGAAGGUCUUCAUGAGACGCUCUCAAUUUCUCUAGAUCUUGCUUCCUUUGAACAUCAUCAUAGAAAAGCUCCUCAUGAGUGGUUGAGAGGGUUUCAUGACGACUUUCAAGUUCCUUGUACUUAACAUCAAGAUUUUUGAUGUCUUCGAUUAAGGACUGAGUUCGAUUCAUUUCCUCGUCCAACAGGUUAUCGCUUUUGUCUAGCAAUUUUUGAAUGUGCUCCAUAGCAGUUUGUUGUUCAAUUGCAAUUUUAGCAAGAGUCUUAUAGCUAGGUUUGGAUUCACAAUCAGAGUCAUCUUCAUUGGAGGUCUGAAAGUAAGCAUCGCGAGAGUUUACCUUGGUACAUCGUGCCAUGAAGCAGUAGGUUGGAGCAGAGUCAUCAUCAUCAUCAGCCUCAGCGUCGGUGAUGUGACCAUUGUCUUCAGUGUUGAAGAUGGACUUGGCGACGAAUGCCGAAGCUAGAGCCAGGCUUGCCACACCUGAAUCAGACUCCUCCUCGGAUUCCACCUCUGCCUCCUCAGAAGCAGACUCCUCCUCUGAAUCCAUUUCAUUCCCAAUGAAAGCACGUGCCUUGCCAGAUGAGCUCUUCUUGUAGGAAGAAGAUUUUGAAGAAUACUUUGAGGAUUUCUUCUUCUUCUUGUCGUUGGAGUCAUAUUUCUUGCUCUUCUUCUUAUUCUUCUUCUUCUUUGCUUCCUUGUCCCAUUGAGGACAUUCAGAUAUGUAGUGACCUGGCUUCUUGCAUUUGUGGCAUGUUCUCUUCUUUUGGUCACGAGUGGAAGACUCAUCGUUCUUGGAGAUGGAUCUUGAAGACUUUCCAAAGCGAUUCUUCUUGGAGAACUUUUGGAACUUUCUCACAAGCAUUGCUAGCUCUUUGCCAAUGUCUUCAGGAUCAUCAGAAAUGCAGUCAGAUUCUUCAGAUAAGGAUACAGCCUUUGCCUUCAAAGCAUGAGAUCAGCCGUAGUUGGGACCAUAAUAUCUCUCUUCUCAGAUAGCUGGAAUUCAUGUGUGUUGAGCCUCUCAAGUAUGUCAGAUGGAUCAAGAUCUCUGAAGUCAGGGCGCUCUUGAAUCAUCAAGGCCAAAGUGUCAAAUGAGCUGUCAAGUGAUCUCAGUAGCUUCUUCGCUAUCUCAUGCUUGGUGAUUUCAGUGGCGCCAAGUGCGCGAAGCUCAUUUGUGAUAUCAGUGAGGCGGUCGAAGGUGAGCUUGACAUUCUCAUUGUCAUUCCUCUUGAAUCGGUUGAAGAGACUGCGAAGCACAUCUAUUCUUGAGUCUCUCUGUGUUGAGACAUCUUCGUUGACCUUGGACAGCCAGUCCCAGACUAGCUUUGCAGUUUCCAGAGCACUCACACGGCCAUACUGCCCUUUGGUCAGAUGACCACAGAUGAUGUUCUUGGCGGUUGAGUCCAGUUGUGCGUAUCUAUUGACAUCAGCAACGGUGAUGCCUUCACCGACUUUGGGAACGCCUGUCUUGACAACAUACCAGAGGUCGAUAUCAAUGGCUUCAAGAUGCAUGCACAUCUUAUUCUUCCAGUAGGGGUAAUCAGUGCCAUCGAAGAUGGGGCACGCAGUGGAGACCUUGAUUAUCCCUGCAGUCAACAUAGCUAAAACUGCAGGUGGUUAAACCGAAUCACAUAGAACAAGGGAGCACCUUCCUCUGAUACCAAUUGAAAGUGCUAGUUAUCGACUAGAGGGGGGGGUGAAUAGGCGAUUUUUAUGGAAGUUGUCGGAGUAUUAUCGCGUCACUCGGCAGGGGGUACCGCGAGUCGACAGAUGCCAUGGGGUGGCUUGAGGUGAGGGCAAGACUGCCGUGGAAUAUCCGGGGACGAGUAUGCGAGUAGCACGCGCUAGUUUACCCAGAUUCGGGGCUCUCCAGAGAGAUAAUACCCCUACUCCUGCAUGUUUGGAUAUAUAUGUGGAGUGUACAUCUGCCAGUACAAAGUGCUCCUGGAGCUGUAUUUGAGAUCAGUGCCAAGGGCAUCUGACUUCGUAAAUGCAUGUGCAUAGCAUGCUCUAGUGGCCAAGUAUGACCAUGGUUUGAGGCGUGGUGGAGUUCAUCCUCCUGGAUGGAUGGCUGGCUGGCUAGCUAGCUUGCUAGCUUGCCCCCCGUGUGAGGCCUCCCCCGGUGCUCCUUAUAAAGGGGAGCCGAGGGGACAAGGGAUGGCCCGACCAACUUCACUAUUUGGAAGACAACGACGUGACGUAUUACACCUGCUACAGUGUGUCACUAUUUCUCAGUAGUGUACGGGUACAGCCGUCUCAUCCGUGGUAUGGCCGUCUUGUCGGUGUCGGGUCAGAUGUGAUGUCGUGGUUGACUCCAGGUAGCCGGCUGGUUGGCGCAGCCGGACGGAGAGCAGGCCGGGCAGCCGGGUGGCGAGCCGGCCUGGGCAGUCGGACAGGGGGCCGUCUGGGGCGGCCUGAGCAUUCAGACCGAGGGGCUUUGCUAGCCUCGAUGUCUUGAAAUAUUGUCUCACCGUCUUCGGGGUACCCAUGGUCAACUACCCCGACAGUAGCCUCCGUGCCUCCGGGCAACUUGGCAAAGUUGGGCGGAGGUUUUUUAGCGGGUGUUGAUGUAAAAGAUGCUUGAUGACGGCCGGCUACAGGCCGCAGCCAGCGCGGCUUGCUUCCGGCGGGGGCGCGUGAGCGCACCCGCUGGGUGUAGCCUCCGAGCCUCUGGGUAACUUUGGAAAAGUUGGGCGGAGGCUUUUCGCGGUUGUUGGUGCAGACGAUGGCGUCGAGGGGCCGGUUGCAGCCGGCGGCGGCCAUGCCACAGGCGUGGCAUGUUUCGAGUGGGGGCGCGCAAGCGCACCUGCUGGGUGUAGCGUCUGAGCCUCCGGGCAACUUGGAAAAGUUGGGCGGAGGGUCUUGUUGUUUGUGAUGAAGCCGACGGCGGCGUCGAGGGUGCCGGGCACGGACACGGAGUCCGCCGGCUGAUGGGCGCGGGGCCCUGCCGGGCGCGGACGCGGAGUCCGUCGGCUGUUGCUGUCAGGCGCGGACGCAGGGUCCACCGACUGACGCUGUCGGGCGCGGACGCGGGGUCCGCCGACUGAAGCUGUCGGGUGCGGACGCGGGGUCCGCCGACUGAUGCUGUCGGGCGCGGACGCGGAGUCUGCCGACUGUUGCUGUCGAUGACAGCCGGUUGCGGGUUGCAGCCGACACGACUUGCUUCCCUUGGGGGUGCGCCAGCGCACCCACUGGGUGUAGUCUCCGAGCCUCCAUGUGAGGAGGGGGUUCCCCACGGAAAUGAUCAUGUAAAAAGCAGGGAUAGACGGGCGUAGCAAUAUGUCAAAUGUUUGCUUUUAGCAUUGCAAGUUUUAUGCGGAGGGUGCCGACUCGGUUUCGUUCGAGCCCCCUUCAAUCUAUUUCAUGUUCCCUCCGCUCAUUGGCUUGUGCUCUCGCUAGCCGGACAGCCGCGCUGCGGUCUGUGGCUGAGAGUGAGCUGCGGAGUGAAGCGCACAGUCCUCAGACUCUGGGAGCAGAUUCAACCAAGCAGAUACUCAUAAAGCAAACGGCCGGGUCGCCCGAACCAUUUUUCUUACCAGACGUUUUUCGCGUGGGUGGCCUCCAGCUUUCGCUCUCGCUUGCCGGACAGCCGCGCUGCGGUCUGUGGCUGAGAGUGGGCCUUCGGUUCCGUGCAUGCUACUAAGCCGUCUGCGGGAACGAACGUCUCAGGCCAAGCGGCCAGCCUCCGGGCCAACACUGGCUGGUGCCGGGGCGAACAGUAGUGCAACUGUAAUAAAAUGCGGAGAUAGCCCCCCGAGCAUCGCUCGAGGUUAUCCGUGUUUGCGCGGUGCAAAAAUGUUGGGGAACGUAGCAUGCAAUUUCAAAAAAAAUCCUACGAUCACGCAAGAUCUAUCUAGGAGAUGCAUAGCAACGAGAGGGGGAGAGUGUGUCCAUGUACCCUCGUAGACCAAAAGCGGACAUUAGGUUAACGCGGUUGAUGUAGUCGAACGUCUUCACGAUCCAACCGAUCUAGUACCAAACGUACGGCACCUCCGAGUUCCGCACACGUUCAGCUCGAUGACGUCCCUCGAACUCUUGAUCUAGCAGAAGGUCGAGGGAGAGUUUCGUCAGCACGACGGCGUGGUGACGGUGAUGGUGAUGUGAUCCGCGCAGGGCUUUGCCUAAGCACUAGGACGCUAUGACCGGAGGAGUAAACUGUGGAGGGGGGCACCGCACACGACUAAGAGAAUAACUGUUGUGCUUUGGGGUGCCCCCUUGCCCCCGUGUAUAAAGGAGGGGAGGAGUCCGGCCACCAAGGGGGCGCGCCAAGGGGAGGGGAGUCCUACUAGGACUCCAGUCCUAGUAGGAUUCGGCCCCCCUUUUUUCCUUCUUCCGGACGGGGAAAGGGGGAAAGGAGAGGGAGUAGGAGAAGGAAAGGGGGCGCCGCCCCCUUCCCUAAUCCAAUACGGCCUCCUCCCUUGUGGGGGGCGUGCCAGCCCCUUGUGGGCUGGUUAGCCUCCCUCCUAUGGCCCAUAUCUUUCCCCCCCCCCGGGAGGGGGGGGGGGUUCCGGUAACCCCUCCGGUACUCUGGUAUGUACCCGAUACACUCCGGAACCCUUCCGAUGUCCGAAUACAACCUUCCAAUAUAUCAAUCUUUACCUCUCGACCAUUUCGAGACUCCUCUUCAUGUCCAUGAUCUCAUCCGGGACUCCGAACAACCUUCGGUCACCAAAACACAUAACUCAUAAUACAAAUCUUCAUCGAACGUUAAGCGUGCGGACCCUACGGGUUCGAGAACUAUGUAGACAUGACCGAGACACUUCUCCGGUCAAUAACCAAUAGCGGAACCUGGAUGCUCAUAUUGGCUCCCGCAUAUUCUACGAAGAUCUUUAUCGGUCGAACCGCAAUGACAACAUACGUUAUUCCCUUUGUCAUCGGUAUGUUACUUGCCCGAGAUUCGAUCAUCGGUAUCCUCAUACCUAGUUCAAUCUCGUUACCGGCAAGUCUCUUUACUCGUUCCGUAAUGCAUCAUCCCGUAACUAACUCAUUAGUCACAUUGCUUGCAAGGCUUAUUAUGAUGUGCAUUACCGAGAGGGCCCAAAGAUACCUCUCCGAUACUCGGAGUGACAAAUCCUAAUCUCGAUCUAUGCCAAUCCAACAAAACACCUUCGGAGAUACCUGUAGAGCAUCUUUAUAAUCACCCUUUUACGUUGUGACAUUUUAUAGCACACAAGGUAUUCCUCCGGUAUUCGGGAGUUGCAUAAUCUCAUAGUCAAAUGAAUAUGUAUAAGUCAUGAAGAAAGCAGUAGCAAUAAAACUUAAUGAUCAUUAUGCUAAGCUAACGGAUGGGUCUUGUCCAUCACAUCAUUCUCCUAAUGAUGUGAUCCCAUUCAUCAAAUGACAACACAUGUCUAUGGUUAGGAAACUUAACCAUCUUUGAUUAACGAGCUAGUCUAGUAGAGGCUUACUAGGGACACUGUGUUUUGUCUAUGUAUCCACACAUGUAUCAAGUUUCCAGUUAAUACAAUUCUAGCAUGAAUAAUAAACAUUUAUCAUGAUAUAAGGAAAUAUAAAUAACAACUUUAUUAUUGCCUCUAGGGCAUAUUUCCUUCAGUCUCCCACUUGCACUAGAGUCAAUAAUCUAGUUCACAUCGCCAUGUGAUUUAACACCAAUAGUUCACAUCGCCAUGUGACCAACACCAAAAGGGUUUACUAGAGUCAAUAAUCUGGUUCACAUCGCUAUGUGAUUAUCACCCAAAGAAUACCAAGGUGUGAUCAUGUUUUGCUUGUGAGAGAAGUUUAGUCAAACGGAUCUGCCACAUUCAGAGCCGUAUGUAUUUUGCAAAUUUCUAUGUCUACAGUGCUCUGCAUGGAGCUACUCUAGCUAAUUUCUCCCACUUUCAAUAUGUAUCCAGAUCAAGACUCAGAGUCAUCCGGAUCGGUGUGAAAGCUUGCAUCGACGUAACUCUUUACGUCGUCUAUUUCUUAGAGUACGAAAGACGAAUCGAAUCUUCUUAUGGUUCUAUUUAAGAAUGGGUCGAACUCUUCAUCACCUCCAUAACCGAGAAAUAUUUCCUUAGUCCUCUAAGGAUAACUUUGACCGCUGUCCUGUGAUCCACUCCUGGAUCACUAUCGUACCCCCUUGCCAAACUCAUGGCAAGGUACACAAUAGGUCCGGUACACAACAUAGCAUACUUUAUAGAACCUAUGGCUGAGGCAUAGGGAAUGACUUUCAUUCUCUUUCUAUUUUAUGCCGUGGUCGGGUUUUGAGUCUUACUCAACUUUACACCUUGCAAUACAGGCAAGAACUCCUUCUUUGACUGUUCCAUUUUGAACUACUUCAAAAUCUUGUCAAGGUAUGUACUUAUUGAAAAAUCUUAUCAAGCGUUUUGAUCUAUCUCUAUAGAUCUUGAUGCCCAAUAUGUAAGCAGCUUCACUAAGGUCUUUCUUUGAAAAACUCCUUUUAAACACUCCUUUAUGUUUUCCAGAAAAUUCUACAUCAUUUCCGAUCAACAAUAUGUCAUUCACAUAUAUUUAUCAGAAAGGUUGUAGUGCUCCCACUCACGUUCUUUGUAAAUACAGGCUUCACUGCAAGUCUGUAUAAAACUAUAUGCUUUGAUCAAUUCAUCAAAGCGUAUAUUCCAACUCCGAGAUGCUUGCAAUAGUCCAUAGAUGGAUUGCUGGAGCUUGCACAUUUUGUUAGCACCUUUAGGAUUGACAAAACCUUCUGGUUGCAUCAUAUACAACUCUUCUUUAAUAAUCCAUUCAGGAAUGCAGUUUUGAUAUCCAUUUGCCAAAUUUCAUAAAAUGCGGCAAUUGCUAACAUGAUUUGGACAGACUUAAGCAUCGAUACGAGUGAGACAAUCUCAUCGUAGUCAACACCUUGGACUUGUCGAAAACCUUUUGCGACAAUUCGAGCUUUGAAGAUAGUAACACUACCAUCAGCGUCUGUCUUCCUCUUGAAUAUCCAUUUAUUCUCAAUGGCUUGCCGAUCAUCGGGCAAGUCCACCAAAGUCCAUACUUUGUUCUCAUACAUGGAUCCCAUCCCAGAUUUCAUGGCCUCAAACCAUUUUGCGGAAUCUGGGCUCAUCAUCGCUUCCUCAUAGUUCGUAGGUUCGUCAUGGUCUAGUAACAUGACUUCCAUAAUAGGAUUAUCGUACCACUCUGGUGCAAAACAUGCUCUGGUUGACCUACGAGGUUCAGUAGUAACUUGAUCUGAAGUUUCAUGAUCAUCAUCAUUAGCUUCCUCACUAAUUGGUGUAGGCAUCACUGGAACUGAUUUCUGUGAUGAACUACUUUCCAAUUCAAGAGAAGGUCAAUUACCUCAUUAAGUUCUACUUUCCUCCCACUCACUCCUUCUCUAGAAAGGAUCCAUUCUUAGCAACAAAGAUCUUUCCUUCGGAUCUGUGAUAGAAGGUGUACCCAACAGUCUCUUUUGGGUACCCUAUGAAGACGCAUUUCUCUGAUUUGGGUUCGAGCUUAUCAGGCUGAAGCUUUUUCACAUAAGCAUCGCAACCCCAAACUUUAAGAAACGACAGCUUAGGUUUCUUUCCAAACCAUAGUUCAUACGGUGUCAUCUCAACGGAUUUAGAUGGUGCCCUAUUUAACGUGAAUGCAACCGUCUCUAAUGCAUAACCCCAAAACGAUAGUGGUAAAUCGGUAAGAGACAUCAUAGAUCGCACCAUAUCUAAUAAAGUACGGUUACGAUGUUUAGACACACCAUUACGCUGUGGUGUUCCAGGUGGUGUGAGUUGUGAAACUAUUCCACAUUGUUUUAAAUGAAGGCCAAACUCGUAACUCAAAUAUUCGCUUCCGCGACCAGAUCGUAGAAACUUUAUUUCCUUGUUACGAUGAUUCUCUACUUCACUCUGAAAUUCUUUGAACUUUUCAAAUGUUCCAGACUUGUGUUUCAUUAAGUAGAUAUACCCAUAUCUGCUCAAAUCAUCUGUGAAGGUCAGAAAAUAACGAUACCCGCAGCGAGCCUCAACACUCCUCGGACCGCAUACAUCGGUAUGUAUUAUUUCCAAUAAGUCAGUGGCUCGCUCCAUUGUUCCGAAGGACGGAGUUUUAGUCAUCUUGCCCAUGAGGCAUGGUUCGCAAGCAUCAAAUGAUUCAUAAUCAAGUGAUUCUAAAAAAUCCAUCCGUAUGGAGUUCCUUCAUGCGCUUUACACCAAUAUGACCUAAACGACAGUGCCACAAAUAUGUUGCACUAUCAUUAUCAACUUCGCAUCUUUUGGCAUCAAUAUUAUGAAUAUGUGUAUCACUACUAUUGAGAUUCAAUAAACCAUUUACAUUAUAUUGGAUGUGUGACCAUAGAAGGUUUUAUUCAUAUAAACAGAACAACAAUUAUUCACUGACUUAAAUGAAUAACCGUAUCGCAAUAAACAUGAUCUAAUCAUAUUCAUGCUCAACGCAAACACUAAAUAACACUUAUUUUGGUCCAACACUAAUCUCGAAGGUAGAGGGAGUGUGCGAUGGUGAUCUUAUCAACCUUGGAAUCACUUUCAACACACAUCGUCACCUCGCCCUUAACUAGUCUUUGUUCAUUUUGCAAUUCCUGUUUCGAGUUACUAAUCUUAGCAACUGAACUGGUAUCAAAUACCUUGGGGUUACUAUGAACACUAGUAAAGUACACAUCAAUAACAUUUAUAUCAAAUAUACCUUUGUUCACUUUGCCAUCCUUCUCAUCCGCCAAGUAUUUGGGGUAGUUUCUCUUCCAGUGACCAUUUCCUUUGCAGUAGAAGCACUCAGUUUCAGGCUUAGGUCUAGCUUUGGGCUUCUUCACGGGAGUGGCAACUUGCUUGCCAUUCUUCUUGUAGUUCCCUUUCUUUCCCUUGCCCUUUUUCUUGAAACUAGUGGUCUUGUUAAACAUCAACAAUUGAUGCUCUUUCUUGAUUUCUACCUUCGUCAAUUUCAGCAUCACGAAGAGCUCAGGAAUCGUUUUCGUCAUCCCUUGCAUAUUAUAGUUCAUCACGAAGUUCCAGUAACUUGGUGAUAGUGACUAGAGAACUCUGUCAAUCACUAUCUUAUCUGGAAGAUUAACUCCCACUUGAUUCAAGCGAUUGUAGUACCCAAACAUUCUGAGCACAUGCUCACUAGUUGAGCUAUUCUCCUCCAUCUUGUAGGCAAAGUACUUGUCAAAGGUCUCAUACCUCUUGACACGGGCAUGAGUUUUGAAAUACCAAUUUCAACUCUUGGAACAUCUCAUAUGCUCCGUGGCGUUCAAAACAUCUUUGAGGCCCCGAUUCUAAGCCGUAAAGCAUGGUGCACUAAACUAUCAAGUAGUCAUCAUAUCGAGCUUUCCAAACGUUCAUAACGACUACAUCUGCUCCUGCAAUCGGUCUGUCACCUAGCGGUGCAUCAAGGACAUAAUUCUUCUGUGCAGCAAUGAGGAUAAUCCUCAGAUCAUGGACCCAGUCCGUAUCAUUGCUACUAACAUCUUUCAACUUAUUUUUCUCUAGGAACAUAUCAAAAAAUAAACGGGGAGCUACAUCGCGAGCUAUUGAUCUACAACAAUUUGCAAAUACUAUUAGGACUAAGUUCAUGAUAAAUUAAAGUUCAAUUAAUCAAAUUACUUAAGAACUCCCACUUAGAUAGGCAUCCCUCGAGUCAUCUAAAUGAUCACAUGAUCCAAAUCAACUAAACCAUGUCCGAUCAUCACAUGAGAUGAAGUAGUUUUCAGUGGUGAACAUCUCUAUGUUGAUCAUAUCUACUAUAUAAUUCACGUUCGACCUUUCGGUCUCCAGUAUUCCGAGGCCAUGUCUGUACAUGCUAGGCUCGUCAAGUUUAACCCGAGUAUUCCGCACGUGCAAAACUGUCUUGCACCUGCAGUAUGUGAACAUAGAGCUUAUCACACCCGAUCAUCACAUGGUGUCUCGGCACGACGAACUGUCGCAACGGUGCAUACUCAGGGAGAACACUUACACCUUGAAAUUUUAGUAAGGGAUCAUCUUAUAAUGCUACCACCGUAGUAAGCAAAAUAAGAUGCAUAAAAAGAUAAACAUCACAUGCAAUCAAAAUAUGUGACAUGAUAUGGCCAUCAUCAUCUUGUGCCUUUGAUCUCUAUCUCCAAAGUACCGUCAUGAUCUCCAUUGUCACCAGCUUGACACCUUGAUCUCCAUCAUAGCGUCGUUGUCGUCUCGCCAACUAUUGCUUCUACAACUAUCGCUACCGCAUAGUGAUAAAGUAAAUCAGUUACAUGGCGAUUGCAUUUCAUACAAUAAAGCGACAACCAUAAGGCUCCAGCCAGUUGCCGAUAACUUUUAUAAAACAUGGUCAUCUCAUACAGUACUUAUAUUACAUCAUGUCUUGACCAUAUCACAUCACAACAUGCCCUGCAAAAACAAGUUAGACGUCCUCUACUUUGUUGUUGUAAGUUUUACGUGGCUGUUACGGGCUUCUAGCAAGAACCGUUCUUACCUACGCAUCAAAAUCACAACGAUUUUUCGUCAAGUGUGUCGGAUCACGGGUUCCGGCAAAACCCUCAAGGUUCGAACACUGGGGUGUGCACGAAGAUCUCUCCUCUCCCAAGCUCUCGCACUCCACAAUCUAGCGGACUAACUCAUCGAACCCAAAGAACACAGAGACACAAGAUUUAUACUGGUUCGGGCCACCGAUGUGGUGUAAUACCCUACUCCAGUGUGCUGUGGUGGAUUGCCUCUUGGGCUGGGGAUGAACAAUACAAGGGGAAGAACUGCCUCUUGAGGUGAGGUGUUCUUGUGCUCUGUGAGCUGGUGAGCGUGAGGAUGGAGUGGAUCCAAUCCAGGUGAGAUGCCCCCGCUAUGGUGGUGGCUAGUCCUAUUUAUAGAGGCCCAGGUCCUCUUCCCAAAUAUUGAGCGGGAAGGGAUCCCACAACGGCCAAGUUUGAAGGGGAACAACUAGUACAACUUAUCCUGACAAAAGCGGUCUUCGCCUACAAAAGGCUCUGGUGGUGACGCCGUCUUGGGCUCCACGGUGACCUCCGUCCUGCCGUCCUGCUGGUCUUGGUCUCGUUGCACCGAUAAGGAAACCUUUGCUUGAUGCCUCGGGACUCCGCGCCUGUGCUUGCCUCUUUAGAACCAAAGAGGAAACAAGGACACUGUGCGCGCGGGCGCCCGUCUGGCGCCCGCCUGGUUUGCGGUCGUCAUUGCUUGGGUCAUUAGAACCUCGCGAGGCUCGUCUUGACUUGAUCUCUCAGCUCCUCGCGAGCCAGCCCGGUGAUGGCGCUCCUGAGGAGGUCUUGUGUCGUCCGCCUCGCGAGGGUCUUGAGCGUUUGCUGGUGAAGAUGGGCCAUACGGUCCCGCUGGUGGAGCCACGCUGUGGGCCGCAGGCAGGCAAGUCUGGGGACCCCCAUUCCCAGAACGCCGACAGUAGCCCCCGGGCCCGAGGCGCGCUCGGGCUUGGCUUCGAGGUGAAGCCAAAGGGCAAGCACGGAGCGCCACGGGCCCCAACAGCCUGCGGCCUUGGUUGACGCGUGGCGAUUGAUUGGACGUGAGCGUCUCCGCUUCCCCACGCCGCCUCGGCAACUGCCUGAUUUGACAAGUCCCUGCUGCAUGCAAAAAGGGUUAUCAUUACCUGCGAUCGUGGGGGUCGCCGGUUGGCCUUCUCUUGCUAUAAAUGAGGAGGGGGUAGAGCCCCGGUCGCUCAUCCCUUCCUGCUCCUCUCGCUUCUUCUUCCUUGCUCCAUUGCUAGCAGCGGCAUCCAUGGCGCCUAUGAAGAGGUUCUCGGCCGCGGAGAAGGGGAAGGCUCGCCAAGAGGGGCCCAGCUCUCCACCGCCCAAGCGUGGGCGCGGCUGCUACCUCUUGAGCACUGCGUUGGUUUUCCCUUGAAGAGGAAAGGGUGAUGCAUCAAAGUAGCGUAAGUAUUUCCCUCGGUUUUUGAGAACCAAGGUAUCAAUCUAGUAGGAGGCUACGCGCGAGUCCCUCACACCUACACAAAACAAAUAAAUCCUCGCAACCAACACGAUAAGGGGUUGUCAAUCCCUACACGGUCACUUACGAGAGUGAGAUUUGAUAGAUAUGAUAAGAUAAUAUUUUUUGUAUUUUUAUAAUAAAGAUGCAAAGUAAAGAAAACAAAAUAAAAACGGCACCAGAAAUAGCUUGUUGUCGGGAGAUUAAUAUGAUGGAAAAUAGACUCGGGGGCCAUAGGUUUCACUAGUGGCUUCUCUCAAGAGCAUAAGUAUUUUACGGUGGGUGAACAAAUUACUGUUGAGAAAUUGACAGAAUUGAGCAUAGUUAUGAGAAUAUCUAGGUAUGAUCAUGUAUAUAGGCAUCACGUCCGAGACAAGUAGACCGACUCCUGCCUGCAUCUACUACUAUAACUCCACACAUCGACCGCUAUCCAGCAUGCAUCUAGAGUAUUAAGUUCAUAAGAAUAGAGUAACGCCUUAAGCAAGAUGACAUGAUGUAGAGGGAUAAAUUCAUGCAAUAUGAUAAAAACCCCAUCUUGUUAUCCUCGAUGGCAACAAUACAAUACGUGCCUUGCUGCCCCUACUGUCACUGGGAAAGGACACCGCAAGAUUGAACCCAAAGCUAAGCACCUCUCCCAUUGCAAGAAAGAUCAAUCUAGUAGGCCAAACCAAACUGAUAAUUCGAAGAGACUUGCAAAGAUAACCAAUCAUACAUAAAAGAAUUCAGAGAAGAUUCAAAUAUUGUUCAUAGAUAAACUUGAUCAUAAACCCACAAUUCAUCGGUCUCAACAAACACACUACAAAAGAAGAUUACAUCGAAUAGAUCUCCACGAGAGAGGGGGAGAACAUUGUAUUGAGAUCCAAAAAGAGAGAAGAAGCCACCUAGUAAUAACUAUGGACCCGAAGGUCUGAGGUAAACUACUCACACUUCAUCGGAGAGGCUAUGGUGUUGAUGUAGAAGCCCUCCGUGAUCGAUGCCCCCUCCGGCGGAGCUCCGAAACAUGCCCCAAGAUGGGAUCUCGUGGGUACAGAAGGUUGCGGCGGUGGAAUUAGGUUUUUGGCUCCGUAUCUGAUCGUUUGGGGGUACGUAGGUAUAUAUAGGAGGAAGGAGUACGUCGGUGGAGCAACAGGGGGCCCACGAGGGUGGAGGGCGCGCCUUGGGGGGUGUGGUAGGCGCGCCCCCUACCUCGUGGCCUCCUGUUUGAUGUCUUGACGUAGGGUCCAAGUCAUGUGGAUCACGUUCGUUCCGAAAAUCACGUUCCCGAAGGUUUCAUUCCAUUUGGACUCUGUUUGAUAUUCUUUUUCCGCGAAACUCUGAAAUAGGCAAAAAAACAGCAAUUCUAGGCUGGGCCUCCGGUUUAUAGGUUAGUCCCAAAAAUAAUAUAAAAGUGAAUAAUAAAGCCCAAUAAGGUCCAAAACAGAAGAUAAUAUAGCAUGGAGCAAUCAAAAAUUAUAGAUACGUUGGAGACGUAUCAGCGGCCGUCCCCGCAAGCAUACCGCGACCCCAGCCAUGCAUUCCCGUGGCCGUGGCAGCGCCUCUUCACGCGGUGGGGCCCGCCCACACCGUGGCGGCCCUGUCGAUGGAGGGAGGCGCGCAGCGGUCGCGCGGCCUCCUCGACCGCGCUUCCACUCGGCGGAAGCGCUGCCGAAGUUCAUCGUGUGGUCGGAGAACCCGGCCGGCACCUGGCUUUAGCUUCCGCGCUUCUUCGUUGACGAGCUGCCAGCCGAGGGUCCAGGCGGGUUCUGGCUGCAGGCGGACGACUGCUGCAGCAAGGCUUCAUGGGUCGCGGUGGAGAUCUCCGCCGCGGGAAACGUGGCCCUGGCCCGCGGUUGGCAGACGUUCGCCCGCGCACGCAGCCUGGGCUGGCAGUGCACUCUCCAUCUCAAGUACGACGGCGACCCGACCCUCUUCGUGAGGGUGUUUGGGGAAGAUGGUCGCCGCGUCGCGUGCUGCCCCGAGGACAACGACGGCGAUGAGGUGCUCGGCCUUGGUGAUGGCCAUGACGAGGACGAGGGCGAGCUCGCCCUUGAUGCCCGCCGCAGCUCGCCCAGUUAUGGCGGUUCUCCCUCCGACGACAGCUCUAGCAGCAGCGGUUACGACCAGCCUCCACGCCGUCGCGCCUGCCUCGAGGGCGGCAGCGGGUCGUCCCGUCGCCGUGCCCCAGUGAAGCGCGAAGAGGAGUCUGGCUGAGCCCGGCUGAGCCCGGCUGAGCGCCAUGGGCCCAUCCUCGCGAGCCGCUGCGGGUGCACGCGCCGCUUUUGUUUCGUCCUUCCUUUCCUUCCUGCAUUGAAAGAGAGACAAGUAUGGGGCCCCAUGGGGGCGUGCAGCAAACUAUGAUUUCCCAGUUGUUAUGCUGUGUUUACUGUUCCUGAGUCGCGUCACAAUUUCAAUGUUUAUUACAGGCACGUAGGAAUAACUUAGCUUGAUGCGCUUGAAGUAGUAUCUGUGCCUCACGAGGCUUCCAUGGCUUGAGAGGCGUCCGGGGACUGCACAAUUCGUUAGAAAAUUCUUAUAUUCCGAGCCCUGGUCGUAGGCGCAGCCGGCCACGACCCAGCGCUCCACAUCGCGGUACCCGAGGGGCACAGAUUGAGAGAGGCGCGUCAGUUUACGGGCUCGAGUGAGGUGCCUCACGAAGAACAGGGAAAACGCCUCAUGAAGAACAGGAAAAAACGUUCACGAGGGCACCCGUCCAGCCCCCUCGCGAGGCAUGCGAGGGAGAGUUCGGGCAAAAACAAGGAACUGGAGGCGGAAAAAGGGAGGUACAAGGCAAUGGAACUAGAUCGGGAAGCAACGCCAGAAGGCAAAUUUCGAUUAAAGAAGGGCAAGCCAACCAUGGAAAGCAAAUGAAAAGCCGCGUCCGGCACCUAGUCUAGCCUUCUUGUCUUCUCACCAGCGCGGAGCUAAGUGCUGCCACUAGGACGUGGGAGGGAGCCCCAGAGGCCCGAGGGCGGCUCUCCUGAGACUCCGGGGUGUGUACAGCCCCACUCAUUAUUAUGUGAGAGUGUCACGAGCGGAUACCUUCACAGGCACUGGGCCUUCUUCACAGGCGCUGGGCCUUUCUUCAUGGGUAGAACUUCCGAAGGUGCUGGAUGUUCCAGGCGUUCUGGAUGGGGAUCCCGCCCUGCGUCUCCAGGCACGGGGCCCCAGGCCUGGAGACAUGGGCGACCCGAAACGGGCCCUCCCACAUGGGUGAGAGCUUGUGCAACCCUUCCCUGGAGAGCACCCGCCUCAGGACGAGAUCACCCACCUCGAGCGUCCUAGAGCGGACGUUGCGGCCGUGGUACCGCCGCAGCGCCUGCUGGUACCUCGCAGCUCGGAGCGCGGCUUCACGGCGGCGUUCCUCCCCCAUCACGAGAUCCAUCCCCCGCAUGGCAUCCUGCUGUGUUUCAUCGAAAGCCAGGACCCGCGCGGAGCGAUGCCUGACCUCGUGUGGGAGAACCGCUUCCGCUCCGUAGACGAGGAAGAACGGUGUUUCGCCUGUAGGCUUGGUGGCGGUGGUGCGGAUGGACCACAACACGGACUGGAGUUUGUCGUGCCAGCCCCUUCCGCAUGCCUCGAGCUUCUUCUUGAAGGUCCUGGUCCUGAGGCCCCGCAAGACUUCCGCGUUGGCGCGUUUAGCUUGGCCAUUGCUCCUGGGGUGUGCCACGGACGCGUAGCAGAUCUGUGUUCCAAGGUUAGCACAAUAUGUUUUGAAGAGAUUGCUAGUGAACUGUGGGCCGUUGUCGGUGAUGAUGUGGUUGGGGGCUCCGAAGCGGCUUACGAGGCCCUUGAUGAACUUAACUGCUGACCCGGCUGGGAUGGUGCGGACGGCUUCCACUUUCGCCCAUUUGGUGAACUUGUCGAUGGCGACGUAGAGGUAGCGGUAGCCCUCAGGCACUCGAGGAAAUGGGCCCAAGAUAUCCAGCCCCCAGACCGCGAAUGGCCACAAGAGCGGGAUGGUCUGGAGGCCCUGAGCCGGCUGAUGGAUUGCUUGGCGUGGAAUUGGCAGGCCUCGCAGGAUUUCACCAGCUCGGCCGCGUCGUUGAGCGCCGUGGGCCAGUAGAACCCGCUGCGGAAGGCCUUGCCAACCAAGGUGCGUGACGACGAGUGGUGCCCGCAGUCUCCGCCAUGUAUGUCAGCCAGCAACUCAUUCCCCUGCUCCCUGGAGAUGCAUCGUAGCGAAAUGUCAUUCGGUCGCUUCCUGUAGAGCUCACCAUCCUAAAUGCAAUACGCCGUGGCCUGCCGGGCCACACGCUCUGUGUCCUCUUCCUUCUCCGGCAACGUGCCCUGCGUCAAGUAUGCCUUGAACUCUUCGAUCCAGCACCCCUCCCGAGGCCUGAGUGCCAGGAGCAGACGUGCUCCCAAGGUCGGGCCACAGGCGGAGGCUCCUGAAGUCGGCGGUGAGGGGAGCUCCUCCUGAGGUGGCCCAGGUUUGGCGGUUGGUGGGGCCGCUGAGGGCUUGAAGAGACGCUCCUCGAAGACUCCUGGUUCCUGAGGCCAACGCUUUGACGCCCUCUUGGUGAUCUCGUCAGCUUCCUUGUUCGUGCCGCGGGGCACAUGUUGUAGCUCCAGACCCAGGAACUGCUUCUCCAUUUUGUGUACCUCCACGAGGUACGCCUCCAUGUGCUCGUCCCUUGGCUCGUACACCUUGUUGGAGAAGUUGACGAGGAGCUGAGAGUCCCCCUUGAUGGUGAGGCGCUUCACCCCCAAGGCCACCGCUGCCUUGAUGCCAGCGAUCAAUCCCUCAUGCUCAACAAUGUUGUUGGAAACCUUCUUGCCCUGCUGAAAGCAGAGCUGCACGGCGUAAUAGAGCUUGUCCUGGGUGGGCGAGAUAAGCACUGCUCCAGUCCCCGCGCCCUGGUGUGAGAAAACGCCGUCGAAGUACAUGACCCACCCGUCCGGUGCUUCGCUCCCUGGAGAGAGGGAUUGGUUCUCGCCUGCUUCGAGCUCCGGGACGUCGGUCCAUUCUGCCACAAAAUCGGCGAGCGCAGCCCCCUUGAUGACCCUGGUUGUGCUGAAUUCCAAGUCAAAUGCUUGCGGCUCGAUGUUCCAUUCAGCAACUCUUCCCACAACAUUGGGACUCCUGAGCACUCUCUCCAGCGGGAAGGCUGAGACGACCUUGAUGGGAUGACCCUGGAAGUAGUGGUGCAACUUGCGCGAGGCCACCAGGAACGCGAGCAAGAGCUUCUGAGGCAUGGGGUAUCGUGCUCUUGCAUCUCGCAGCACUGUGCCGACGAAGUAUACUGGGUGCUCGACGAGGGCGGGAGAGCUAGUCGAGCCCUCGGCUUUAGGGGCUUGACAAUCUGUCGGGGCAACCGCUGCCUCAGGAGCAUUGUCUUGGCAUUGUGCUGCCACACCAGGAUUGAUGGCUCCAUUUGGCGGGCCCUUGACUUGGCGCUCCUCUCUGAUGGCCACCAGCGCUGCGCUGGCGGAGUGAGGUGUAGCAGACAGUUAAAGCACCAAGGGCUCGAGAGGACGAGGUGCUACCAUCACCGGCGGGCUGGUCAGAUAUCUCUUGAGGUCUUGAAAUACCAGGUCAGCCUCCGGGGUCCAUUCGAACAGGCCUUUCUUCUUCAUCAGCUUGAAGAACGGCAGGGCACGCUCCCCCAGCUUGGAGAUGAAGCGCCCCAGUGAGGUCAUGUAGCCGGCAAGCUUCUGCAUCUCCUUGAGGGUUUGUGGUGGGCUCAUGUCUUCAAUCGCCUUGAUCUUCUCUGGAUUGGCCUCAAUCCCCCUGUGUGACACGAGGAAACCCAGCAGCUUGCCUGAAGGGACACCAAACACACACUUCUCUGGAUUGAGCCGUAAAUCCACCUGGCGCAGGCUCGCGAAGGUUUCCUCCAGGUCCUGAAUCAAAGUUCUUGCCUCCUGAGACUUCACCACGAUGUCGUCGACAUAAGCCUCAGUGUUUCUCCCGAGCUGCCGUCCCAAGGCAAUGUGCAUCAGCCGCUGAAAGGUCGCUCCUGCGUUGCGCAGUCCGAACGGCAUGCAGGUGUAGCAGUACACCCCGCACGGGGUCAGGAAGGCUGUCUUCUCCACAUCCUCCACUGCCAUCUUGAUCUGGUGGUAGCCUGAGAACACAUCCAAGAAACAAAGUAGGUCGCACUCCGCGGUGGAGUCAACGAUCUGGUCAAUGCGCGGCAGCGGGAACGGGUCUUGGGGGCAGGCCUUGUUGAGGUUGGUGAAGUCAGCGCACAUCCGCUCCUUUUCUCCUUUCUUUGGCAUGACGACAGGGUUCACCAGCCACUCUGGGUACCGGACCUCGCGGAUGACACCUGCUGCCUCCAGCUUGCGGGUUUCCUGGACGAUGAAAGCCUGUUUCUCCAUGGACUGUCAUCGCGUCCUGUGCUUCACAGGGCGCACGUUGGGGCACAACUUCAGAUGAUGCUCAAUCACCCCUCUUGGGACCCCAACUAGCUGCUUGGGCUCCCAGGCGAACACCUCCUUGUUCGCCCGUAGGAAGUGCAUGAGGGAGUCCUGGACUAAGGGGUCCUCGGGCGUUCGGCCUGUUGGCCAUGGGCCGGACUGAUGGGCUGUGAAGAUACGAAGACCGAAGACUCCACCCGUGUCCGGAUGGGACUCUCCUUGGCGUGGAAGGCAAGCUUGGCAAUCAAAUAUGUAGAUUCCCUUCUCUGUAACCGACUUUGUGUAACCCUAGAUCCCUCCGGUGUCUAUAUAAACCGGAGGGUUAGGUCUAUAGGACCGAAUACUCAUUACCAUAUUCAUACAUGCUAGACUUCUAGGGUUUACCAUUACGAUCUCGUGGUAGAUCAACUCUUUUAAUACUCAUAUUCAUCAAGAUCAAUCAAGCAGGAAGUAGGGUAUUACCUCCAUAGAGAGGGCCCGAACCUGGGUAAACAUUGUGUCUCCCGUCUCCUGUUACCAUCGAUCCUAGACGCACAGUUCGGGACCCCCUACCCGAGAUCCGCCGGUUUUGACACCGACAUUGGUGCUUUCAUUGAGAGUUCCACUAUGCCAUCAUCAAGAGGUUUGAUGGCCCCUUCGAUCAUCUACAAUGAUGAUGUCCAAGGAGAAGUCUUCCUCCCCGGACAGAUCUUCGUAUUCGGCGGCUUCGCACUGCGGGCCAACUCGCUUGGCCAUCUGGAGCAGAUCGAAAGCUACGCCCCUGGCCAUCAGGUCAGAUUCGGGAGCUUGAAUUACAUCACGGACAUCCGUGGAGACUUGAUCUUCGACGGAUUUGAGACUGCAGCAGCCGCUCCCUGUCACCUCGAUGAACAGGACUUAAAUCUGUCAUCGGACACAUCCAGGAGAUAGCUCCUGUAACUACUCUGGCCUUAGAUCCGGAGCAAAUCGCGCCAUCCGAGGACGGGAAGCUCAACCCCGCCAUGGAGGCCGCAGAUUCCGCGGCGUUGGAGCCGCAUACAGACUUAGCCUCGCGUGAUAUCUGUGUCACCGGGACUCCGGACUCGUUCCCGGCUAUAAGUUCCGAACCGUGUACGUCCGCGGACGCCGAGCUCGAUCGGUUAUCGGUCUUCAAAUUCAGUGCCGCAGACAUCUUCCAGCACUCACCCUUUGGCGACGUGCUAAACUCACUGAAAAAUCUGUCCGUGGUGGGUGACUCUCAGCCGAAUUAUAUCCGGUUCGAACUGGAAGCUGAUGACGGAGAAUUUCGUUUCCCACCCACCACCCACUUCAUAGCCACUGUCAAGGACUUAACCGACAUGCUCGAUUAUGGCUCCGAAGACGUCGACGGUAUGGACGGCGACGCAGAUGAGGAGCAAGGCCAAAACCAGCCAUUUACCGGACACUGGACAGCCACUUCUUCGUACGAUGUGUACAUGGUGGAUACACCUAAAGCAAACAGCAAAGAGGAUCCAGUUGAGGAUAAACAUCCUGAGAAACAGCCCAAAUGCGGGCUUCCGUGGCGCCGCUCUAAGUCGCGUCGUUCAAAAAAUAGUAACAUUGGCACCGGAGAAGAUAAUACUCCGGACGAUGCCGAAAACAAUGAAGACCCUGUUGGAAUAACUUUCGAACCGGAGGAACAAGGAAACGGGCAACUUAGCCCUGACGAACAGGCCACAAAUUACGACUCAGAGGACGAUAAUUAUCUUCCGCUCUCCGAGGAUGAGGUGAGCCUCGGCAACAAGGAGUUCAUCGUGCCCGAGGAACCUCUCGAGCAGGAGCGCUUCAAGUGUUAGCUAAUAGCCACUACAAAGAGCCUGAAAAAGAAGCAGCAGCAGCUUCAAGCUGACCAAGAUCUGCUCAAUGACAGAUGGACCGAUGUCCUGGCAGCCGAAGAAUACGGCCUCAAGCGCCCAGUCAAGAGUUACCCAAGCGCAAAUUGCUACCUCAGUUCGACGAGGAGGCACCAUGCGGCCGACCACCACGUGGUCGGGACAAUGCGGCGGACCGACCACCACCCGGUCGGGAUAAAGCGGCAGCUCAAGCCGAACUACAGUACGCCCCACCGCAACGUGAAAAUAGAGAAAAGACAGCUCGGGGUUCUACUCACGACCUUCGACAGGACCCGGACAAUGGAAUAGGACAUACCAGAUCGAUCUACGGAUCGCGGGGAUGUGCUUUGACACGUGAUGACAGCCACCUAUCCGGACGUGAGAAAUCCAGUCACGCCCGGGCCGAAAGCCGCAGACGGACUCCAUCUGAGCUACGUCACGACGUGGCCCAAUAUAGAGGGGCCGCACACCCACUCUGCUUCACUGAUGAAGUAAUGGAGCAUUAAUUCCUAGAAGGGUUUAAACCCGUGAAUAUCGAAUCAUACGAUGGAAAAACCGAUCCCGCUGUGUGGAUAGAGGAUUUUCUUCUCCACAUCCAUAUGGCCCGCAGAGAUGACCUCCAUGCCAUCAAAUACCUACCAUUAAAACUCAAAGGACCAGCUCGGUACUGGUUAAACAGUCUGCCAGAAAAUUCUAUUGGCAGUUGGGAGGACUUGGAAAAUGCCUUUCGCGACAUUUUCCAAGGCACAUAUGUGCGGCCACCAGAUGCCGACGACUUAAGUCAUAUUGUCCAGCAGCCUGGAGAGUCAUCCAGGGAGCUCUGGACUAGGUUCUUAGUUAAAAAGAACCAGAUCAUCGACUGUCCGGACGCGAAAGCCCUAGCGGCCUUCAAACACAGCGUCCGGGACGAAUGGCUCGCCUGCCUCCUCGGUCAAGAAAAAUCGAAAUCCAUGCCAGCCCUUACUUCUCUGAUGACCCGCUUUUGCGUGGGAGAAGACAGCUGGCUCGCUCGUAGAAGCAGUUGUGUCAGCGACCCGGGUACUUCCGAAGUCCGAGACGGCAAUGGCAAGCCGCGACGCAGCAGGCACAAGCAUAAUGAAAAAACGCACGACACAGCGGUCAACGCUGGGUUCAGCGGUCCCCAACCCGGUCAGCGAAAGAUGCCAUUCAAGGCAAACUGAGAUGAACCAUCCACUUUAGACAAGAUACUGGAUCAGCCCUGCCAGAUUCACGACCACCCCGAUAAGCCAGUUAAUCACACCAACGGAAGCUGUUGGGUCUUCAAGCAGGCCGGCAAGCUUAACGCCGAACACAAGGGGAGGAGGCCGCCCGGUGGUGGCAACGAUGAGGGGACUCGCCAACUGUGACACCCCAAAAUUUUGACCUUGUUUUAUUAAUUAAAUUUUUUGCCAGGAAAUAAAACUUUUCCAUUUGUCUUGAUUCACCCUCUUGAUUUGUGUGGAUUUUUACCUCAAGUGGAAACUUUCCAAAAGGAUUGUUGGAUUUGUAUACUCUCUAUAAUAAAACAAUUCUUUAUCAGUGAUUUUUAAAUUGCAAGAUUUGUUUUCUCAGAGCUUUGUUCUUUUAAAGUGAUUUCUUUUGAAUUUGGAGCCUGUUUUGCAUUGUAACCAUUUGAUAAAUGCUUUUAAAAUUUCCCACCAAAAUUUGGGGAUGUCAUGUGAUGUUUCCACAUCACUUUUACACAAAAAUACCUUUUGGCCAUUGGAGAUUUUGAGCUCUACACCAACUUUUCCAAUCUGAUCCAGUAGGCACUUUUGCACUACAACCCAUUUAAAUAUUUCUUUAAAAAUUCUUCCAAGUGUUUGGAGAUGUCAGUGGAUGCAUACAAUUCAACUCUAUGAAAAAACCCAGUGAUGUUCUUUGAAAAAUUUGAGUGAAUCACCCUCUUUUGCAUUCUGGUCCAAUUUGGUGAUAUGUACUGCAACCUUAUUUUAUUUUGCUCUAGUGACCCUGAGCUUUUUCCUACUUGUAGCCCUCCCUUCAAAACCCUUAAGUCCAGGAUAUUGGACUCAUUGGAAGUUUUUAAGUGCAUGCUAUAAACCUUUUUUCUUGCUGUCCAAAACUGUGGUUUUGCAAAAUUUGCACUAACAAGUUUCUGGUUUUGCCCAAAUGAUCUUGCCUUCAUCAUCCACACCUAAAGAGACCCUGAUCUGGAGAUUUUGGCCACUCCAAGAGUUGCCUAAGUACACUUGGCAUUCUGUCGAACACUUGGUGUGCACAGUCAGUUUUGGGCAUGUUUCCUAGUUUGCACUGUGAUCUUGCUCCAAUGACCCAGCAACCAUGUCCAUUGAGCUCCUAGCUACCCCUACCCCUGUCCUGUUCAUUGCCAGCUCCACCCUCGCGCUCUACACCGCCCUCGCAUUUCGUCGAGCAGGUUCCGUGCGUGCUCUGGGCGCGCCCAGAGCGCACGUUUUGCACGCGCGCGCACUGAGCCGCCGCGUCGCACUGCCGCACUCGACGCGACCCGUCCCUGGCCCCUGCUCCACUGCUGAACCGUGCACUACGCUCGCUCACUCCCCACGCCACCCCUGGCGCCCUGCAGCGCCGCUGGCAGAGCUCUUGGCGGCACGCCGGCGUCGGCAGCGAACCUCUGACAUGGACGGCGCCGCCCAAGCCACCCCAGCGUGCCAGCUGCCCCCGUGAACAGCCCGGUCUUAUCCCGAAGCUCGUCGGCACGCUCCCGUCGCCGCCACGUCGCCCUGCGGCUACAGCACGGCUGUCGCCGGCGAUCUUAUCCUCAGCCGCCGCGGCCCAACCCUGAGCGCCUAUUUAAGGGACCCCCGAGCUCGUGCAAGACCUCAAGCGACCUCAUACUUUCCCCCUGGUUCUUCCCUAGCCGUAGAUUGACCGGACAGGGCCAUCUUCCCCAACUCUGGCCAGUUCAGCCGCCACUGCGCUCCGGUGAAAUACAUCGCAGCCAGCCACUCUCUUGCCCAACCAACACCACCAGUAGCUUCCCCUUGUCCUUGCGGAGCUGCCCAGCAACCCAACCUCGAUCGGAGACCAUCGGGGCCCAAAACCCACUUCUCACCCGUAGCCCCCUCCGCCGCGGAGCUCGCCGCCGGCGACUCCUCCCACCUCCGAUGACCCAGCGACCACCAAGAGGACCGCCUCGGUCUGGCCGGUCCAUCCCUGCCCUCAGAUGCCCUCGAGGAUCCGCCGUUCGUCGCCGGCGAUCGCCGGAGUCCCGCUCCCGUCGGGCAGAGGAGAGGAGGGAGAGGGAGGAACGGUCAAACCUGACCAGUGGGCCCUCUGGACCCACUGUCAGUGACCCAGCCCGGCCAACGCGUGUUAAGUGGAAGCGUAUAACCACGGAGUACGUCUCCCCUACCCCGAAAGCGUAUUCCCCUCGAAGCGUUUUCCUUUUUCUAGUUUUAUUUGAAACAGAGUUUUGACCAGACUUUGACCAGCUAUAACUUUUAAAAUAAAACUCUAAAUGAGUUGAUCCUUUUUCCUACCUCUCUCAAAUUCCAUCUAGUUUAUUUUAAGAUUUAUUUCAAAAAUAUUUGAGACAACCUUUUGUACUGUGUUUGAAAUAUUUGUUAUUUGAAUAUUUCUCAAAAUAGGAUUUUGGAGAAAAGGGAAAGCUUUCAAAAAGUGCAUCCUUUGCAUACUCUUGAAGGCAAGCAUUUCUGAACUCUGGCAUAAUAUUUUGUUGUGGUGUUCUGAUACGAUUACAAUGCUAUUUGACUUGGAGUAUGCGUUAUCUUUAUGUAACGAUAAAGUUUCGUGCAUGAGUGCUUUUUGGAGAUAUUUUGUGGUCAGCAAUGGAUAUGCUAGUGUUUUGGAUCAUCCUCGUGAGCUCCUCAUGCAUACCAGAAGGAAGCCGGGAAAGUCGUGGUCUUGGGUAGACACGAGCUUGUCCCUAGUCCCUCGUCGAGACGAGUAUGUCCGGUAUGGCAUGGUGAGGCUUGAUGAGUGGUGAUUUAUUCCAUUAAUGGUAAUAUUGUUGGAGAAUUCUUGGACCACCUGAGUCAGUCGUAGGUCGAGUCUUGAUCAGUAACUUCCCUAUUUGUUUGUACUACCACUUGUCCCUGUCGCAGACGGGGUAUGGUUCAGUAAGUUGUCAACCCCUUACCAAAGCACACACCGUACAGGGAGGCCAUGGUGGAAGAUACCGGGUGCAUCCGGUAGGCAUGCCACCUGGUCCGGGGGCAUGGGUGUUUCCGGUUGGGACCGAGAGGGGGGCACCCCUUAGAGCGCGCGUAUAUAAAUUUGAUCCCAUGCUACGUCGAGGUUGUAGCCUCCCCACUUAGAGUUUGCUUGACGGGUGUCGUGGGUGAUUCCAGACACCGGUAAGUUAAGCUGGUGUGUGCAGGUCAGGCGUGUUUUCAAUUAAAAGGCCGUAGACGGAAUUAGUCCUAAAGGACUAAAUAAAUCCGUUACUCGUGGGUGGAAAGUACACCCUCUGCAGAGGUCAUAUCCAUUUGGAUAGCCAGGUUCAUGAGUAAGGACUACAGUCUAAGAUGAAUCAUGGUAACGGUAUUCGGAUGGAGAACGAAUUGAUUAGAAUCGUAACGGUCUUCGGAUGGAGAACGGCUUGAUUAGAAUCUAGUAACGGUCUUCGGAUGGAGAACGGCUUGAUUAGAGUCUAGUAACGGUCUUCGGAUGGAGAAACGGAUAUACCAGAACGUUAUUUAUGACCUAUGUCAUGAAAGGUCUAAGAUUUAUUAUUAUUGUGGACUAACCAUUUACCUUAUUUUCAAUUAUUGAGUAUCCCUGGGACGGUUCUACCUCCUGGAUAUUCAUUGUUUUUUUAUCUUUUAUAAGCCCUUUAUGUGGUGUCGCUCAGACGCCCGACUGUGGCAUGUUGAUAUUUAUUUAUCAUUUAUAAGCCCUUUAUGUGGUGUCGCUCAGACGCCCGACUGUGGCAUGUUAGAUAUUUAUUUUUCUUUUAUUAGCCCUUUAUGUGGUGUCGCUCAGACGCCCGACUGCGGCAUUGUCAUUUUAUUUACAACCUUUCGAGGAGUCUUUUCAGACACUCGCUCAGUGCAUUCCAUCUUUACUCCCGUAUUGCAUACUCAUGUUUUAACGCACGCGUGCAUCACAGAUUUUCGUUUACUUCAUGGUAGGCUUAUCGUCACAAAUGUUUUCGGAGUAUGAUUAUCUCUUAUUAUAUUAUACCCGUGUUCGGAAUGUUUGCGAGUACAUUCAAACGUACUCACUGGCUUGUCCCUGGCUAUUGUCUUGGCCAGAUUUCGCGCAUGGAGAUAAGUAUCGCGGUGACAGUCCCGGAACCUAGGCAGUGUGGAUAGCAGCCUCGCGAAGAUAGGAGUUAUCCUGGUCAGCUGUUCUUGUGGGAAAUGGAGUCCCAUAGACGCAGAUACACCAAACUGCUUCCGCCAUCAACCACUAGAAACCAAAUGUUGUACUCCUAGGCCACAUGGUCUUGUACUACAUAUUUUUGUACCUUGCUUGGAAUUCUUGUAUCAAGUUGGUGUCUCAUCAGCUAACAGUAAUCCUGGGGCUGGUGAGCACAAAGGCCGUUUUUUGGGAAAUUAUAUCCCGAAAUUCCGGUCGUGACACCAACCACAUACUAGGGGUCAGAAGCAAUUCCCCCCAAAGUAAAAACAGUGAACAUGGUAUUCACGACACAUAACUCUACAAUGUAGCAGGAGGAGCACUCUCUCCGGACUAGGGAUCAUACUACGGCAACCUCAGCCGAAGUACAAAGCGGUCUUAUUAAACCGCAUACCCUGUCGGCCAUUAAGCCACCGGUCUCCAUUCAACUGGAUCGACCAAAUUCGGAGUGGGACUAGCAGUUCGGCUUCCGCCGUCCACCUCGUAUACCUGCGAAAUCUGUACCGUGCAUACAUAACUAUGCACUUAAGAUACCUUGGGCAUCGGCGGAAGCACAAUACGGACGAGCCCGCAAGUGCUCCCAUAACCUCUGUUUUUUUAUCUAACUACUCUUUCUUUUUCAUUAUUCUUUACCUCAGGUGGCUCAAAGGAUGGUCAUUUAUUGGACUCCAUCGGGGUUCGGGCUCGUACAUUCAUCCAAGGGCCAUUCCCGUUAAAGGAGUCCCCUAACCGAGGACAGGCGACGCAGACGUGUGACAGGAGGUCCAAAAUAACUUUUUGUAGACCGCACUCUAUAUUUCGAGCCUGUAAGGUGCCUUUUUUCCUCAGCCUUCGACCCUGGCAUGUCAAAUAGCCGGGGUCGUGGCGUUUUUAUAAACAUAACAAUUGGCAUAUCACUCAGGUCCCAGUUAACAUAAUUGGUAUCUGGUAUUCACUUCUUUCUAAAGAAUUGAAUUUUGCUUCUUUGGUUGUUUCACACACCUCGGCAUAAGUUGCCAGGGGCUUGGGAUAAGAACAAAUGAGUUGUCGACAAAGUCCGAACAACUCUAUAGCGUACUUCGGCGUCGCGAGUUUGGCCUUAUAUGCAUCAGCUCCGAAUCAUGUCUUGGGUCAAUAGUUGGGUUGCCCGGCUCUUGUGCUUGUUACCUUACGUUCCGCUCUAUCGGCUAAGGUAGUAAAGGGAGAACUACUGCGAUUGUGCUUCCGGUUCAUCUGGUCAAGCACCUCAGUAGAGAAAGCCGAAAACUGACUGUCAUGAUGCGGCGAGAGCUGGUCAACCACUCGAUGACUUAUCGGGAUCUGUUGCGAUUCCCUCCGUAUUAUACGAAGGACCUUUUUCUUCAGGUCACAUAUGCAACGCACCAUAUUGGAAUAAGCCGCGUGCAUGCCGGGGGCUAUAUCGUAGACCCACCAUAAAACUCCUAUGGCUAAGUGAAAGUUUUAACGCCCUAUAGUCCGAUUGCCUAGUCGCCGCAUUGACACCUCCUUAAUGGACCAAGACGUUGGGUUAAGAGUGAUCAAAUGCUUUUCCGAACACCCCCGUAUUUUUUACGAGGGGGCUGAAGCUGACGACUGGAAAUCUUUCAGAUUAUACAAAAAUGGCCGCACAGGAGGAAUAAAAGUUUUCAGGCGAAACGAAAAAGAAACUAGCCUUAUCAUAAUAUUGUCUUUUGCAACUCCCAUACAAUUCACUCAAAUAUUACAUCUUUCGAGCAUUGACCCUCUAUUAAGCGGGCACCUUCUAAGACAUCCUCGAAAUAGUGCUCUAGCGCGUGAUGAUCCUUGCCCUUGGGUGAAUUCUUAACUGCAACAUCGGCGGCCUUCAUCUUCGCCCAGUAUGUCUUGACACACGCAAAGGCCAUCCGUGCACCUUCAAUGCAUGUUGAUCGCUUCACAGCAUCGAUACGCGGCACCGCGUCAGCAAGUCGCUGCACCAAACCAAAAUAACUAUCCGGAACUGGCUCGGUUGGCCACAGCCGGACCACGACGUCCUCCAUGGCAGCACCGAACAACCUGUGAAGCUCGGCCCAUUGGGUCAUCUGUUCGUUUAGCAAAGGUGGGCGCUUCGACGCACCGAAUUGCGACCAGAAAAGCUUCUCCGUUGCAUAUCUUUCUUGCGCUUGGUAAAACUAUGCCGCAUCAGCAGCACUCUUCGGCAAGUCCAAUAACGCGUCUAGAGAACUCCACACUUGAUUAAGCGGGGCAUAAUUCGGAUCGCCGAACUUAGUUUGCAAUAAGAAGGGCUUACUAGCCGCGAUCUCCCCAGUUUGUCGGAUCUCCUCUCGGGACGCUCUAGAUUCGGACUGCAAUUCUUUUGCCUCUCGUAAGGUGAUGUCUACUACGCAACCUUCUUCUUGUAGACGUUGUUGGGCCUCCAAGUGCAAAGGUUUGUAGGACAGUAGCAAAUUUCCCUCAAGUGGAUGGCCUAAGGUUUAUCAAUCCGUGGGAGGCGUAGGAUGAAGAUGGUCUCUCUCAAGCAAACCUGCAACCAAAUAACAAAGAGUCUCUUGUGUCCCCAACACACCCAAUACAAUGGUAAAUUGUAUAGGUGCACUAGUUCGGCGAAGAGAUGGUGAUACAAGUGCAAUAUGGAUGGUAGAUAUAGGUUUUUGUAAUCUGAAAAUAUAAAAACAGCAAGGUAACAAGUGGUAAAAGUGAGCGUAAACGGUAUUGCAAUGCUAGGAAACAAGGCCUAGGGUUCAUACUUUCACUAGUGCAAGUUCUCUCAACAAUAAUAACAUAAUUUGAUCAUAUAACUAUCCCUCAACAUGCAACAAAGAGUCACUCCAAAGUCACUAAUAGCAAAGAACAAAUGAAGAGAUUAUGGUAGGGUACGAAACCACCUCAAAGUUAUUCUUUCUGAUCAAUCUAUCAUAGAGUUCGUACUAGAAUAACACCUUAAGACACAAAUCAACCAAAAACCUAAUGUCACCUAGAUACUCCAAUGUCACCUCAAGUAUCCGUGGGUAUGAUUAUACGAUAUGCAUCACACAAUCUCAGAUUCAUCUAUUCAACCAACACAAAGAACUUCAAAGAGUACCCCAAAGUUUCUACCGGAGAAUCAAGACGAAAACGUGUGCCAACCCCUAUGCAUAGGUUCAUGGGCGGAACCCGCAAGUUGAUCACCAAAACAUACAUCAAGUGGAUCAAUAGAAUACCCCAUUGUCACCACGGGUAUCCCACGCAAGACAUACAUCAAGUGUUCUCAAAUCAUUAAAAGACUCAAUCUGAUAGGAUAACUUCAAAGGGGAAACUCAAUCCAUCACAAGAGAGUAGAGGGGGAGAAACAUCAUAAGAUCCAACUAUAAUAGCAAAGCUCGCGAUACAUCAAGAUCGUACCACCUCAAGAACAUGAGAGAGAGAGAGAGAGAUCAAACACAUACCUACUGGUACAUACCCUCAGCCCCGAGGGUGAACUACUCCCUCCUCGUCAUGGAGAGCGCCGGGAUGAUGAAUGGCCACCGGUGAGGGUUCCCCCCUCCGGCAGGGUGCCGGAACAGGGUCCCGAUUGGUUUUUGGUGGCUACAGAGGCUUGCGACGGCGGAACUCCCGAGCUAUUCUAUUCCCUGAAGGUUUUAGGGUAUAUGGAUAUAUAUAGGCGGAAGUAAUACGUCAGGGGAGCCACGAGGGGCCCACGAGGGUGGAGGGCGCGCCCAGGGGGGGUGGGCGCGCCCCCUGCCUCGUGCCUCCCUCGUUUCUUUCCUGACGUGCACUCCAAGUCUCUUGUAUUGCUUUCUUUCCAAAAAUAAAUUUUCCGAAGGUUUCAUUCCGUUUGGACUCCGUUUGAUAUUCCUUUUCCGUGAAACACUGAAACAAGGGAAAAAACAGAAACUGGCACUAGGCUCUGGGUCAAUAGGUUAGUCCCAAAAGUAAUAUAAAAGUGCAUAGUAAAGCCCAAUAAACAUCCAAGAUGGAUAAUAUAAUAGCAUGAAUACUUCAUAAAUUAUAGAUACGUUGGAGACGUAUCAGCAUCCCCAAGCUUAAUUCCUGCUCGUCCUCGAGUAGGUAAAUGAUAAAAGAAAGAAUUUAUGAAGUGUGAAUGCUAGCAGGUGCACAAGUUUGAUCAAUGAUAAUUUCAAUCACCUUUUCUAGCAUCAUUAUAUGUCAUAACAGUAGCUCAUAUCAUGAAACCUUGCAUGAUCAAGUAACAAACUAUUCACAUGUUAAAGUAUAGAACAUAAACUUUCUUGAAAACUAACAAACCGUGUUAUUAGUCAUCAAACAAUUACAAUUCAUCUUAUUUUCAGGAAGAGUCUAUGUCAGAGCUUUGAUUCAGCAAACUUCACAUACUCAACUAUCAUUUAGUCUUCCAUGAUUGCUACCACUCAAAGCAUAUUUUUAGAACAAAUAGUAUUCAUCGAACAUAGAGAAAGAUAGGGGCUUAAUGUUUCGCCUCCCAACCUUUUACCUCAGGGGUAAUGUCAAAAGUAAUAAUUCAUGCUCAAAUAUAUUUGAAUGGCCAUAUAUGCCUAGAUUUUUCCAUCACAUGAUGCUUGCCAACUAAAGAGUAGGUUGGAAUGAGAAGGAAUACUACUGACUCUUGCAUAAAAGUAAAGGAUAGGCCCUUCGCAGAGGGAAGCAGGGAUUUGCAGAGGUGCCAGAGCUCGAAGCAAAAACAGAGAUGAAAAUAAUUUUGAGAGGUAUGCUUUCAUUGUCAACAUAACGACCAAGAGUUCCCAAUAUCUUCCAUACUACAUACAUUAUAGGCGGUUCCCAAAUAGAAAGGUAAUGAUUCUUACUCCCCCUCCACCAACAAUCAUCAAUCCAUGGCUUGCCCGAAACAACGGGUGCCUCCAACUAACAUCAAUCCUGGGGGAGUUUUGUUUGCAAUUAUUUUUGAUUUGAUUUCGAUCUUUUGAUCAUGGGACUGGGCAUCCCAGUUACCAGCCAUUUUCUCGUGAAUGAUGAGCGGAGUCCACUCAUCGUGAGAAUAACCCACCUAGCAUGGAAGAUACUGCUAGCCCCUAGUCGCUACAUGAGCGAUUCGGGCAUACAAAACAUAUUAUUAUUUGAAGGUUUAGAGUUUGGCACAUGCAAAUUUACUAGGAACGGCAGGUAAAUACCGCAUAUAGGUAGAUAUAGUGGACACUCAUGGAAGAAACUUGGUUCAAGGAAUUUGGAUGCACAAGCAGUAUUUCCGCUUAGCACAGAUAUUUUGGCUAGCAAAGGAUCCUAAAUAGCAAGCACCACAUGUUAGAGGAUCCAUAACAAUAUAACUUCUAUACAAAUAUACCCAAGCAUAACUCAUUAUGGUCUUCCUUGUUCAACUUCAACUAAUUUGCUCAGGUUUGAAAAUAAUUAAUGGGGAUCACAAUCAUAGAAGAUGUCCAAGAUAGUGUAUUUAUAUGUGAAAUCUCUCUUCCUUCAAUAUUCUUUCAUGAAUUGUUCAAGUGACCAAUACAAUGUUUCCUAACCUUCAAAAAAUUUACCACCUCUACUUCUUAUAUGUGAAGGCAUUACUCUCCAUGGGAAAGUCAUAUGAAACAUAUAUAAUUUCAGAUUUAUGACAUUCAAAUCAUUCAACCAUUUACUCAUAGGAUAUAACGGAAGCACACGAGUAAAUGACAAACUACUCCAAAAAGAUAUAAGUGAAGAUCAAUGAGUAGUUAAAUAAUUAUGUAGCUAUGUGAAGACUCUCUCUCAUUUAAGAAUUUCAGAUCUUGGUAUUUUAUUCAAACAGCAAGCAAAUCUAAAUAAAAUAAAAUGAUGCUCCAAGCAAAACACAUAUCAUGUGGUGAAUAAAAAUAUAGCUCCAAGUAAAGUUACCGAUGGACGAAGACGAAAGAGGGGAUGCCAUCCAGGGCACCCCCAAGCUUAGGCUCUUGGUUAUCCUUGAAUAUUACCUUGGGGUGCCUUGGGCAUCCCCAAGAUUAGGCUCUUGCCACUCCUUAUUCCGUAGUCCAUCGAAUCUUUACCCAAAACUUGAAAACUUCACAACACAAAACUUAACAGAAAAUCUCGUGAGCUCCGUUAGCGAAAGAAAACAAAACACCACUUCAAGGUACUGUAAUGAACUCAUUAUUUAUUUAUAUUUGUGUUAAACCUACUGUAUUCCAACUUUUCUAUGGUUUAUAAACUAUUUUACUAGCCAUAGAUUCAUCAAAAUAAGCAAGCAACACAAUGAAAACAGAAUCUGUCAAAAACAGAACAGUCUGUAGUAAUCUGUAACUAAUGCAAACUUCUUGAACUCCAAAAAUUCUACCAAAAUAGGAAGACCUAUAAAAUUUGAUUAUUGAUCUGCUGCAAUUGGAAUCAGUAUUUUAUCACGUUCUGGUGAUUUUAAACAAUUGUUUUCGUGAACAGAAAGUUUCUGGAAUUUUCAGCAAGAUCAAAUAACUAUCAUCCAAGAAGAUCCUAUAGGUUUAACUUGGCACAAACACUAAUUAAAACAUAAAAACACAUCUAACCAGAGGCUAGAACAAAUAUUUAUUCCUAAACAUAAGCAAAAAUCAAGAAACUAAAAUAAAGUUGGGUUGCCUCCCAACAAGCGCUAUCGUUUAACGCCCCUAGCUAGGCAUGAUGAUUUCGAUGAUGCUCGCAUAAAAGAUAAGAGUUGAAACAUAAAGAGAGCAUCAUGAAGAAUAUGACUAGCACAUUUAAGUAUAACCCACUUCCUAUGCAUAGGGAUUUUGUGAGAAAACAACUUAUGGGAACAAUAAUCAACUAGCAUAGGAAGGCAAAACAAGCAUAACUUCAAAACUUUAAGCACAUAGAGAGGAAACUUGAUAUUAUUGCAAUUCCUACAAGCAUAUAUUCCUCCCUCAUAAUAAUUUUCAGUAGCAUCAUGAAUGAAUUCAACAAUAUAACCAGCACCUAAAGCAUUAUUUUCAUGAUCUACAAGCAUAGAAAUUUUACUACUCUCCAAAUAAGCAAAAUUCUUCUCAUUCGGAAUAGUGGGAGUAUCAUAAGAGACUUGAAUACUAUAAAUUGUUUCCACAUUAAAAGAGUAAUGUUCAGAAAAAGGGUAAUCAUAAUCAUGACAAAUUUUAUAAAUAUAAUCAUCACUACUUUUUAUAGCAUAAGUUUCAUCACAAUAAUCAUCAUAAGUAGCAACUUCGUUCUCAUCAUAAUCAAUUGAAACCUCUUCCAAGAUAGUGGACUCAUCACUAAAUAAAGUCAUGACCUCUCCAAAUCCACUUUCAUAAAUAUUAUAAGAUUCAACAUCCUCCAAAAUAGUGGGAUCAUUACUUCCUAAAGUUGACACUCUUCCAAACCCACUUUCAUCAAUAUAAUCAUCAUAAGUAGGAGGCAUGCUAUCAUCAUUAUAAAUUUGCAUAUCAAAACUUGGGAGACUAAAAAUAUCAUCUUCAUUAAACGUAGCCUCCCCAGGCUUGAGACAAACAUUAAUUGCAGCAAAUAUAUUCUCAAAAACAUCAUCUUCAUCAAACAUAGCAUCCCCAAGCUUGGGCCUUUUCAUAUCAUAAGCAUAAUCACUCUCAUCAUUAAUAGUAUGGAUAGCACCAAUAGUAUAGCGAUUGUCAUAUUCCAAGCAAGUGCCAAAAAGAUUUUCAAGAUCAUAAUAAGUAUCAUUAUCUUCCCAAUCAUAAUCAUCACUACAAGCAAUAUUCAUAACUAGAUCAUCAUCAAGUGCAUCAUCUUCCACAAUUAUUUUUGAUUCAUUUUCAUGAGGCACAACAAUAAUAGGAGCAACAUUAUUUGGGAGGGAUACCUUUUUACCUCUCUUCCUUUUUCUUUUCUUCUUCUUCACCACAUCAUGUGUGCGUUCAAUCCUCUUUUUGGAGCUCCUUAUUAAUGAGAUUGGUUGAAUAGAAGGCUCCUCCUCGUUACCUGAUUCAUCAUAAGAAAUAAUAGGAGAAUAUUGGGAAGUCUCUUCCCUUUCGUUAGUAUUCUCUUCAUCCUCUAUUUGUUUUAUUCUCUUUAUUUAAUUGGCAAUAUAAGGAUUUUCAAUGCAAUUCACCGCACAAUACAUAUAAAUUUCCUCUACAUCAAAACCAAGAAGUUUAUCACGGGCAAAUACUGGAAGAUAGUUAGUUAUACGUUUCAUUUCUUCGUAACCCAUAAGCAAACUAAGUUCAUUAUAAUGUGCAAGGGAAAUCAAGUCAUCACAAUUUUUGGAAACGAUUAGGUCAUGAAACAAUUUGCAUCGGAUAGUUAAAUGACCACGUUCAUUGAAAAGUUCACAAGUAUGGCCAAGAAAAUUUAAAUUUUCAGCACAAACAUCUAGCCUUUCUUGCAACAAUUUAGUUUCUAAGUGCUUAUGCCUCUUGCAAUAUCUAUCUUCCCUAUUUGGUGUGUACUUGCAAACCCAAUGCACUGCACAAAAAUUGACAUGUUUAUAGGAGACAUUUUCAUCAUGACUAGUGCAAUCAUCGUUAGAACCAUGGAUAUUCAAGGAGUUCAUACUAACAACAUUGCAAUCAUGCUCAUCAUUCAAAGAUUUAGUGCCAAACAUUUUAAUGCAUUCUUCUUCUAACACUUUGGCACAAUUUUCCUUUCCAUCAUACUCACGAAAGAUAUUAAAAAGGUGAAGUGUAUGUGGCAAACUUAAUUCCAUUUUUUGUGGUUUUCUUUUAUAGACUAACUAGUGAUAAAACAAGAAACAAAAAGAUUCGAUUGCAAGAUCUAAAGAUAUACCUUCAAGCACUCACCUCCCCGGCAACGGCGCCAGAAACUGCUUGAUGUCCACUACGCAACCUUUUUCUUGUAGACGUUGUUGGGCCUCCAAGUGCAGAGGUUUGUAGGAUAGUAGCAAAUUUCCCUCAAGUGGAUGACCUAAGGUUUAUCAAUCUGUGGGAGGUGUAGGAUGAAGAUGGUCUCUCUCAAGCAACCCUGCAACCAAAUAACAAAGAGUCUCUUGUGUCCCCAACACACCCAAUACAAUGGUAAAUUGUAUAGGUGCACUAGUUCGGCGAAGAGAUGGUGAUACAAGUGCAAUAUGGAUGGUAGAUAUAGGUUUCUGUAAUCUGAAAAUACAAAAACAGCAAGGUAACAAGUGGUAAAAGUGAGCGUAAACGGUAUUGCAAUGCAAGGAAACAAGGCCUAGGGUUCAUACUUUCACUGUGCAAGUUCUCUCAACAAUAAUAACAUAAUUUGAUCAUAUAACUAUCCCUCAACAUGCAACAAAGAGUCACUCCAAAGUCACUAAUAGCAAAGAACAAACGAAGAGAUUAUGGUAGGGUAUGAAACCACCUCAAAGUUAUUCUUUCUGAUCAAUCUAUCAUAGAGUUCGUACUAGAAUAACACCUUAAGACACAAAUCAACCAAAACCCUAAUGUCACCUAGAUACUCCAAUGUCACCUCAAGUAUCCGUGGGUAUGAUUAUACGAUAUGAAUCACACAAUCUCAGAUUCAUCUAUUCAACCAACACAAAGAACUUCAAAGAGUACCCCAAAGUUUCUACCGGAGAAUCAAGACGAAAACGUGUGCCAACCCCUGUGCAUAGGUUCAUGGGCGGAACCCGCAAGUUGAUCACCAAAACAUACAUCAAGUGGAUCAAUAGAAUACCCCACUGUCACCACGGGUAUCCCACGCAAGACAUACAUCAAGUCUUCUCAAAUAAUUAAAAGACUCAAUCCGAUAGGAUAACUUCAAAGGGGAAACUUAAUCCAUCACAAGAGAGUAGAGGGGGAGAAACAUCAUAAGAUCCAACUAUAAUAGCAAAGCUCGCGAUACAUCAAGAUCGUACCACCUCAAGAACACGAGAGAGAGAGAGAGAGAUCAAACACAUAGCUACUGGUACAUACCCUCAGCCCCAAGGGUGAACUACUCCCUCCUUGCCAUGGAGAGCGCUGGGAUGAUGAAGAUGGCCACCGGUGAGGGUUCCCCCCUCCAGCAGGGUGCCGAAACAGGGCCCCGAUUGGUUUUUGGUGGCUAUAGAGGCUUGCGGCAGCGUAACUCCCGAUCUAUUCUGUUCCCCGAAGGUUUUAGGGUAUAUGGAUAUAUAUAGGCGGAAGAAAUACGUCAGGGGAGCCACGAGGGUGGAGGGCGCGCCCAGGGGGGGUGGGCGCGCCCCCCUGCCUCGUGCCUCCCUCGUUUCUUUCCUGACGUGCACUCCAAGUCUCCUGUAUUGCUUCUUUCCAAAAAUAACUUUUCCGAAGGUUUCAUUCCGUUUGGACUCCGUUUGAUAUUCCUUUUCCGCGAAACACUGAAACAAGGGAAAAACAGAAACUGGCACUAGGCUCUGGGUCAAUAGGUUAGUCCCAAAAGUAAUAUAAAAGUGCAUAGUAAAGCCCAAUAAACAUCCAAGAUGGAUAAUAUAAUAGCAUGAAUACUUCAUAAAUUAUAGAUACGUUGGAGACGUAUCAUAAGGCCUUAUCAAGAUGAGCCGCUUUGGCUAUGUUAUCCUUCUCGAGGAAUUCGCAACGGCUAGUGGCACCUUCUAGCUCACGCGUCAUCUUGGACAUUUUCUCCUUAUCUUGACGCCGAGCAGCCUGUUCGGCCUUCAAUUCGGCCGAUGCCUUUUCGGCAGCCGCAUUACUAACCCGAGCCUGUUCCUUGGCCCGGAAUAGCUCCGCCCGAAGAAUUUCCACCGCGGCAGCACCAUCUACAGUUAUGCAUAUGUCAGCAUACACUCCUUCACGUCCCGCUUAUAUCAUAAGCAAGUGCAUAUAAUGAACCCCCCAAAUACAUACCUUGUGACUCAUCAAGACGCCUGUUAAUGAGUGCGAUGUCAUCACCUGCCAUAUCAAGCUUCCUUUCAAGCUCAGCGACUUCUGUAGUCCGGGCGGUCACCGAGGGGGAAAUUGCCUGUGUUCCAACUUAAUCACGUUAUUCCCUGAGCAUGUCUCUUUUUGAUCCUCUGAUCGCCUCCCUUGGGAAGCCAAUCCGAGUCUCAGGGGCUACUACCUAUAUACAGGUGCAUUUUGGGAAUAAAACACAGUUGAAAAUAUUACAUCACAAACCUCGAAGCCUCUUAACAGGCUCGUGAAGGCUUCAUGCAAUCCGCUCUUCACGGACAGAACCCUCUCAACAACCGUACCCAUCAAGGCAUGGUGUUCCUUUGAGACGGACGCUUGUCGCAGCAUGUUCGUCAACAUAUCCGAUGCUUCCGGAUCUUCGAAAGUCGCCGCUGGAACACGGCCUCCCUUUGAAGGAACCCAUUCGCCCUUCCCUACGAUCAUCUCCGGCUGUAAACCGGACAAUCCGGGGGCUUCAUUGUUGGCCCCCGAACCCUGGGCGACUGGGGCAUCACCUCCGGGUGAUACCUUCUUCAUCCCCCGCACUGCUUGCCGAUUGGGAGAGACCCUCCGGGACGAUACUUCACAGUCAUCCGCCUUAUUGAGCGGGGAAGUUGGUGGAGGCGUUUCGCUCUCCAUCAUCUCCGGAAGAAGGUCCCCCGAGGAGGAAGAUUGUUGAAGAGGACGGUGUGCCGGACUGCAAAAUAUAUAUUCCCAAUGUUACCUUGGUAGCGGGAAAGGAACGAGAUAUGUUUAAGAACUCCCUUGUUCAACUUACGGCCUGGCCAGGGGCUCAUCCUCACUAUGGAACUGUGCGACAAUAUCGUCUUCCAAGCCUGAGCCGCCUGACGAUGGCAUCUUGCCUCGCUUGGGAGCCUUUUCCUCCCGAUCUUCGGAGGCGGCCCUUUUCUUACCUUGGGGAGAAGAUACCUUGACUUCUCCCUCACUUUUGUCUUCGGACGAUGGAAUUUUGAUUCCCCCGGACGCUGUGCCUGGUAUAGCUUCAGGGUGGAAGCCGCUUUGUGUCUCCCCACUUCCGCUUUUUCCUCCUCUACAGGCAUCUGGAAUGGUGCCGGGGCCAGCAUCCUUGUUAGUAUGGAAUCUGAUGAGUCUUCGAGGAGGGGGGCCGAACAUCUGAUUCGCUUCGCUUUCUUUAUCCAGCCUUGGGGAAAGGCAGUUUUUCUUUGUAACAUAUUGCAGCACACUCAACUACAAAGUAUUCAGGAGAUAAGCGCUUACCGGGGUGUCCGGAUGGUUGCAGUCGAGGCCUAUGUCCUCGGUGGUGUCCGGCCACUGUUUCUGUUUCCCGAAGAACAACUUCCACAUUCCUUCAUGCGUCAUGCCGAAGAAGUGCUGAAGCGUUCAUCGUCCUUCCGUAUUAAACUCCCACAUACGGAGAGGCCGUCGCUGGCACGACAGUAUCCGGUGAACUAGCAUUACUUGGACCACGUUGAUAAGAUCGAUGUCCUUCUCAAGGAGGCUUCGGAUGCGGCUCUGCAGAGUCCGCACUUCGUUAAUUAAUCCCCACUCUAGCCCCUUAUUAAUCCAUGAUGCAAGCUGAGUCGGAGGGCUAGACCAAAACGCAGGCGCGGUGGCCCACUUGGAACCACGGGGCUCGGUGAUGUAGAACCACUCCCGCUGCCAUAAAUUUGAAGAUUCUGUAAAGGAUCCUUUAAGCCACGGAGCAUUAGUAAGCCUGCUCACUGUGGCACCACCACACUCCGCAUGUCUCCCCUCGAUCACAUGCGGCUUCACAUUGAAGGUCUUGAGCCAUAAGCCGAAGUGUGUAGGGAUUCGGAGGAAGGCUUUGCACGUGACGAUAAAUGCCGAUAUGAGAAGGAAGGAGUUCGGGGCUAGAUCGUGGAAAUCUAGCCCAUAAUAGAACAUGAGCCCACGAACAAAGGGAUUGAGAGCAAACCCUAAACCUCGGAGGAAGUGGGAGAUAAACACGACCCUCUCGCCGAAUCUAGGGGUGGGAAUAACCUACCCUUCAGUAGGGAGUCGGUGGAGGAUUUCCGCGGUCAGAUAUCUUGCCGCUCGGAGCUUCGCGAUAUCCUCCUCUAUGACAAAAGAGGCCACCCACCAACCUUGAAGGCUGGAACCGGACAUGAUCGAGGUUCGUGGUAGUUGAAACCCGGGUGUUGGAGCUCGAGGUGGGAAAGGCUGAAGAAGGAGCAAGCGCGAAGGAGAAGGGCGGAUCUGUACCCCUCUAUAAAGGCUGUGAAUAUCAAAACGCCUCCUCUCGGGCCUUAAAGCUUGCCUAUUCCCAAGGAAUCAUACCAAAGAGACGGUUGGGUUACCCACGUCCGUGUUGAUAAGAAUCCCGUAAUAAGAGGGACACGAUCUCUGCUUCGACAAGACGUACCAAUGAAAACCAUGCCUCAAAACGUGGAACGGCAGGACAAGGAACGGUUCGAAAUAAAGAUCGGACCAGCAUGGUGUCGCGUGUCCGAAAGUUGUCAGCAGAUUGGACUCGUGAAAUAUUAUAUUCUCUACGACCGUGUGUGUGGUAUGUAUGUUGCAGAUCCGGACACAUCUCUCGCUUAGAGACUUUCUUGAAGUUCGGAAAGGAGGAACCCGCCUUGCAAUGCCGAAGACAAUUUGCGCGCCGGACACCUCGUCAUUGAAGCCUGGUUCAGGGGCUACUGAGGUAGUCCUGGACUAAGGGGUCCUCAAGCGUCCGGCCUGUUGGCCAUGGGCCGGACUGAUGGGCUGUGAAGAUACGAAGACUCCACCCGUGUCCGGAUGGGACUCUCCUUGGCGUGGAAGGAAAGCUUGGCGAUCAAAUAUGUAGAUUCCCUUCUCUGUAACCGACUUUGUGUAACCCUAGAUCCCUCCAAUGUCUAUAUAAACCAGAGGGUUAGGUCUAUAGGACCGAAUACUCACUACCAUAUUCAUACAGGCUAGACUUCUAGGGUUUAGCCAUUACGAUCUCGUGGUAGAUCAACUCUUGUAAUACUCAUAUUCAUCAAGAUCAAUCAAGCAGGAAGUAGGGUAUUACCUCCAUAGAGAGGGCCCGAACCUGGGUAAACAUUGUGUCCCCCGUCUCCUGUUACCAUCGAUCCUAGACGCACAGUUCGGGACCCCCUACCCGAGAUCCGCCGGUUUUGACACAGACAGUCCACCAAUUCCUUUUCUUGAUCUGGGGCGAGGUCGGCGCCUAUAGUAAAGGUAGCACCCGAGGCCCCAUCCUUGUCAACUGGUAUUUGCUUCGUCUUGGCUUGGCCUUGGGUGAACUGCUGCUUCUUCUUGGUCGGUGCAGCCCCCUUGGCUCCGUGCCCGGUUUUGGCUGCCGGACAGGUCGCUGUUGUGGCCCUGAAAGCGAGCUUGAGGGUCGCCAAGGCUUCCUUGGUGUCACCAGCCACGAUGAGGACACUCUUACUCCCCGACAUCUUCAUGAGGUUGUAGGCAGGAUGAGUGGCCGCCAGGAAUUGGGCCAGCGCCGGGUACCCGAGGAUGGCGUUGUACGGUAGACCGAUGCGGGCGAUGUCGAAGUCGAUCAUCUCGGUGCGGUAGUUGUCGCGAGUUCUGAAGGUCACGGGGAGACGGAUCUGCCCCAAGGGGUUGGAGGAGCCGCUGCCGACCCCGGAGAAGGGCUUGCUGGGGCGGAGCCGCUCAAGUGGUACGUGGAGGAGGCUAAACGCCUCCACCGAGAGCACAGUGAGGCCGGCACCACUGUUGAUGAGGGUCUUGGUGACGGCAACGCUGCAGAUGGUGGGCGUGCACAGCAUGGGGAGCACGCCCGAGCCGACGGUGGUGACUGGAUGAUCCUCCGAAUUGAAGGUCAGGUCGGCCUUGGGCGCCGCCCAACUCGGGGGAGCCCCCUGCCGCGAGGAGACAACGCCGAUUCAGCGAAAGAACAGCUUGGCGUGACAAUCCGAGGGCGGCGCUUGUGAGCCACCGAGGAGGGCCGCGAUGACCGGGGGUGCUGGUCCCCCGAAGCGCGCGAUGAAGAGGUCAUGCAGCUCCCCCCAGGAGGCCGCAGAAGAUCCCGGCAGAUGAAGGAACCAAGCGCGCGGCACGCCGGUGAGGGCCAUGGGGAGCCAGUUGGCCAUGACCUUAUCGUCGCUGCCAGCCUCUAGAACAGCCUUCUCGUAUGCUAGCAGGAAGGCCACCGGAUCUGCCGCACCGCCGUAUCAGGGCGGCAUCUCCGGCCUGAACUUGGGCGGCCGCUGCACCCGCCGCAGGGUGGGGGUGAAGGCCCGGUGCCCCACGGCACCACAGUGGGGGCCUGUCGAUCCAGUCAGAGAAGCGGUGCCAUCCAUGAGAGCUGGUCGGGGAAACGAAGCUGUCGGGGGAGGCGAGCUUCAGCGCACCCCUACCUGGCUCGCCAAAUGUCGGAUCACGGGUUCCGGCAAAACCCUCAAGGUUCGAACACUGGGGUGCGCACGAAGAUCUCUCCUUUCCCAAGCUCUCGCACUCCACGAUCUAGCGGACUAGCUCGUCGAACCCAAAGAACACAAAGACACAAGAUUUAUACUGGUUCGGGCCACCGAUGUGGUGUAAUACCCUACUCCAGUGUGGUGUGGUGGAUUGCCUCUUGGGCUGGGGAUGAACAAUACAAGGGGAAGAACUGCCUCCUGAGGUGAGGUGUUCUUGUGCUUGGUGAGCUGGUGAGCGUGAGGAUGGAGUGGAUCCAAUCCAGGUGAGAUGCCCCCGCUAUGGUGGUGGCUAGUCCUAUUUAUAGAGGCCCAGGUCCUCUUCCCAAAUAUUGAGCGGGAAGGGAUCCCACAACGGCCAAGUUUGAAGGGGAACAACUAGUACAGCUUAUCCUGACAAAAGCGGUCUUCGCCUGCCAAAGGCUCUGGUGGUGACGCCGUCUUGGGCUCCACGGUGACCUCCGUCCUGCUGGUCUUGGUCUCGUUGCACCGAUAAGGAAACCUUUGCUUGAUGCCUCGGGACUCCGCGCCUGCGCUUGCCUCUUUAGCACCAAAGAGGAAACAAGGACACUGUGCGCGCGGGCGCCCGCCUGGUUUGCGGUCAUCAUUGCUUGCGUCAUUAGAACCUCGCGAGGCUCGUCUUGCCUUGAUCUCUCCGCUCCUCGCAAGCCAGCCUGGUGAGGCCGCUCCUGAGGAGGUCUUGUGUCGUCCGCCUCACGAGGCUUGGCCCCGCGCGAGGGUCUUGAGCGUUUGCUGGUGAAGAUGGGCCGUACGGGCCCGCUGGUGGAGCCAUGCCGUGGGCCGCAGGCAGGCAAGUCCGGGGACCCCCGUUCCUAGAACGCCGACAAAGUGUGCUGUUUUAUCCUUCAACAAGGACCGACUGUAGUCAAAUUCGAUUCAAUAAAGUUGGAGAAACAGACACCCGCCAGCCACCUUUAUGCAAAACAAGUUGCAUGUCUCUCGGUGGAACCGGUCUCAUGAACAUGGUCAUGUGAGGUUGGUCCGGGCCGCUUCAUCCAACAAUACCGCCGAAUCAAAAUAAGACGUUGGUGGUAAGCAGUAUGACUAUUAUCACCCACAACUCUAUGUGUUCUACUCGUGCAUAUCAUCUACGCAUAGACCUGGCUCGGAUGCCACUGUUGGGGAACGUAGCAUGCAAAAUUUCCUACGAUCACGCAAGAUCUAUCUAGGAGAUGCAUAACAACGAGAGGGGGAGAGUGUGUCCACGUACCCUCGUAGACCGAAAGCGAAAGCGUUAGGUUAACGCGGUUGAUGUAGUCGAACGUCUUCAUGAUCCAACUGAUCUAGUAUCGAACGUACGACACCUCCGAGUUUAGCACACGUUCAGCUCGAUGACGUCCCUCGAACUCUUGAUCCAGCAGAAGGUCGAGGGAGAGUUUCGUCAGCAUGACGGCGUGGUGAGGGUGAUGGUGAUGUGAUCCGCGCAGGGCUUCGCCUAAGCACUACGACGCUAUGACCGGAGGAGUAAACUAUGGAGGGGGGCACCGCACACGGCUAAGAGAAUAACUGUUGUGCUUUGGGGUGCCCCCUUGCCCCCGUAUAUAAAGGAGGCGAGGAGGAGGCCGGCCACCAAGGGGGCGCACCAAUGGGAGGGGAGUCCUACUAGGACUCCAGUCCUAGUAGGAUUCAGCCCCCCCUUUUUUUCCUUCUUCCGGAGGGGGAAAGGGGGAAAGGAGAGGGAGUAGGAGAAGGAAAGGGGGGCGCCCCCUGCCCUAAUCCAAAUCGGCCUCCUCCCUUGUGGGGGGCGUGCCAGCCCCUUGUGGGCUGGUUAGCCUCCCUCCUAUGGGCCAUAUGGCCCAUAUCUUUCCCCGGGGGGUUCCGUUAACCCCUCAGGUACUCCGGUAUGUACCCGAUACACUCCGGAACCCUUCUGGUGUCCGAAUACUACCUUCCAAUAUAUCAAUCUUUACCUCUCGACUAUUUUGAGACUCCUCGUCAUGUCCGUGAUCUCAUCUGGGACUCCGAACAACCUUCGGUCACCAAAACACAUAACUCAUAAUACAAAUCGUCAUCGAACGUUAAGCGUGCGGACCCUACGGGUUCGAGGACUAUGUAGACAUGACCGAGACACUUCUCCGGUCAAUAACCAAUAGCGGAACCUGGAUGCUCAUAUUGGCUCCCGCAUAUUAUACGAAGAUCUUUAUCGGUCGAACCGCAAUGACAACAUACAUUAUUCCCUUUGUCAUCGGUACGUUACUUGCCCGAGAUUCGAUCGUCGGUAUCCUCAUACCUAGUUCAAUCUCGUUACCGACAAGUCUCUUUACUCUUUCCGUAAUGCAUCAUCCCGUAACUAACUCAUUAGUCACAUUGCUUGCAAGGCUUAUUAUGAUGUGCAUUACCGAGAGGGCCCAAAGAUACCUCUCCGAUACUCGGAGUGACAAAUCCUAAUCUCGAUCUAUGCCAACCCAACAAAACACCUUCGGAGAUACCUGUAGAGCAUCUUUAUAAUCACCCUUUUACAUUGUGACAUUUGAUAGCACACAAGGUAUUCCUCCGGUAUUCGAGAGUUGCAUAAUCUCAUAAUCAAAGGAAUAUGUAUAAGUCAUGAAGAAAGCAGUAGCGAUAAAACUUAAUGAUCAUUAUGCUAAGCUAUCGGAUGGGUCUUGUCCAUCAAAUCAUUCUCCUAAUGAUGGGAUCCCGUCGAUCAAGUGACAACACAUGUCUAUGGUUAGGAAACUUAACCAUCUUUGAUUAACGAGCUAGUCUAGUUGAGGCUUACUAGGGACACUGUGUUUUGUCUAUGUAUCCACACAUGUAUCAAGUUUCCGGUUAAUACAAUUCUAGCACGAAUAAUAAACAUUUAUCAUGAUAUAAGGAAAUAUAAAUAACAACUUUAUUAUUGCCUCUAGGGCAUAUUUCCUUCAAAAAAUAUGCGGAUGAGGAGCUCACAUUGCUUUGAUGCAGACGAAGCGGAGGUUGACGAAGACAGCCCACGCGGCUCGAUGCUCGCGCAGCGCGCCGACGCACCCGCUGGGUGUAGCCUUCGAGCCUCCGGGUGCUCGAAGGGGGGCCUGACCGGCCAGACGGCGGAGUGGGACGUAGCCGAGCCGGCUUGGCACAGCCGGCGAUGCCUUGAGGCGGCCGGGUCGGCUUGACACAGCCGACCGGGUGCUGAAACGGGCAGGCAGGGCCGCCGGUGAAGAGGCACCGCGGACGGGCGGAGGCGUCAUUUAUUUUCUUCUUUUUUUUCUUCGGCUGGCUGCUAGCAGCCGAACGGACACUUUUUUUUCUUCUGCCGGCUGUUGGCAGCCGGACGUUUUUUUCUAAGCCGUCUUGAGUAGUCGGCCACAAUUAUUUUUCUCUUGAUGCUGGAUGGGCAGCCGGCCUUUCUUCUGCAUGAGCAGCCGGCUGGAUGCUUUUCUUUUCUCUGUUUGUUUUCUUUCUUGGGUAGCCGAGCUCUCUCUCUCUCUCUUUUUUCUUUCUUCUGUUCUGGGUCAGCAGACGGCCGCAGCGGGACCCGGCGGGGGCUCGCGGGACGCAACUGGACGCGGGAGGGACCCAACCGGGUGCGCGGGAAGCUGGCCGGCCGGGUGGUCGCAGCCGGCGCGCAGGAGGCGGAGGAGCCCGGCAGGGGGGCGUGCGGAGGAGGCGGCACGGGCGAAGCAUCCAGACGGCACGCGCGGAGGCCAGGCGGGGCGAGGCGGCGUAGGCGGAGAUGGUGGUGACUUCGCGCUAUUGACGGGCGCAGGGGAAGCCGGCAUGGCGCGGGGCAGCCCGUCUGAGGCCGAGGCCGGGACCGCGCGGGAGGAGCGAUGUAGGCGGAGCCGCAGGCACGGACCAGGCGGCCAAGCGGGGCGGACCAGGCGGGUGGCCAUGGGCGGAGGAGGAGCAGAGCAGUCGGAAUCCGGGAGCUGGGCAGCCGACGUGGGGGCAAAGUCGGCGCGGUGAGAUGGGGCGACGGCCGGAGCCGCCGCUGGGAGCAGCGCCAGCGCGGGGGCGCGAUGGCGGCCAAGCGUGGUGGAGCGACGUCGGCGCCAGCACACACGGGGCUGGGCGCGUGGUUGGUGAUGAACGCAGAGGCCAGCGGGCGUGCGAUGCGCAGCAGCGCGGGUGGAAGACAUGCGCGGAGAACGCAGCCAUAGAGGGCGCGGGGCGCGCUACGCAGGCUUGGAGACCUGCCAGUGGCGCGCACAGCAGGGGCCAGUCACGGGAGUGUGCUGGGUGGACGCGGGCUCGCCUGACGGAGGGGGUCGGUCGGAGCAGAGAAGCGCGCGGCCGGCGGCGGCGGAGCUGGCUCAGAGAGGAGCCCGGGGCGGAGAGGAGCGAGGCCAGGCGAGCUUGAGGCGGCCGGCCGGCGCGCGCAGCCACCGGACAGCCCUGCAUGCACACGAACCGGGCUAGCUAGCAUGCAUGGUGGCGAAACCAUUGGGUUUGCCAGCUAGCUAGCUAGCCGCGCACGGAUGCGUGCAUGCACAGGGACCGGAGAUGUGGCCAGCUUGCACAUGGAGGAUCAGCAGCGAGGCAUGGCAGUGGCUGUAGCUACAGCGAGGCAUGGGAGCGGCUACAGCUACAGCGACACAUGACAGCAGCUAUAGCGACGUGUGACGGUAGCUACAGGUACAGCGAGGCGUGCACGCAAAUAGUGGAGGCAGGAGAAAAGCCGUGGGAGUGGAGGAGAGCAGCAUGCAAAACAACGAGCACCGCGGAGAGGCCGGCGGUGGUGCAGCUGGCCGGAGCGAAGCAGCGCGGUGGAGCGGGCGCAUGGCUACGGACGGAGCUACCGGAGGCAGAGGAGGCCGGACGUGGCGUGCGCGCGCGGACGGGAGGAGACGGCUAGGACGCGCCACCCCACGUGGGCGCGCUGUUGAAAAUAUUAACACUUUUUUGACUAAUCUAAUCCACGAGUAAACAGUAAGCAUGGCAAAUACGGUAUGCAUCUCGUACCGAUACCUGAGCAUGUGAGCACGUACAGUACAUAGAAACGAAACAUCUAUGAACAACAUAUAUACAGCCAGCACAUGAACGAGCAGAUAGGGGAUGAACGAGUCAUACCCUCCGGUUGGCCAGGCCAACGCGGCGGCGGCGGCAGCAGCCUCGGCAUCAGCCAAGGCCUUCUUCUUGGCAACUUCGUCGUCGGCCAUGGAGUCGAAGUAGAGGAAGUAGUGGAAGCAGAGGCGGACGAAGACGGGGACGGAUCGGGAGCAGUCGCGUCGAGACGCUCCCCAAAAACCUUAUUGCCGUUCUCCCGAGCAGGAUCUCGAAUGACAGGGUUCCGGAGGCACCUGCUCUCCCGACCAACCGUGCACGCGGUCGUCGGGAUGGGAUCGCCGGAAGCAGCACAGAGAGAGGAACAGUAGAUGACGGCUAGGGUUGUACGAGAGGGAGUGAGUGAACUGAGUUAGGGUUCACUCCACUGGCCAGCGCCUUCUUAUAUAGGCCAUUAGGUAGAUGGGCCUAGGCCAGGCCCACGACCGAGUCCGCGAACAACCCACGGUCCAACGUCUCGGACAGUGGCGCUUACGUAAGCGACUCAUUAAUUAAUUAACAAUUAGUUAACCAUUCCUGAGCGGCAAAAAAAGCUUCGGCUCGGCUCAUUCCCGCAACCCGCGGCGCGCGCGCGUGUUGUGAUGAGGUGAGGCAUGGCGAGGCGAGGCGGGCGGCGGCGGAGGAGGAGCGCGUGUGUACAUCUCUUAUUCCCAAGCUCUCAAUAGCAAGUGGUAGAGCAACCCUUACAAGGAGGUCUCACUCUUCUUACUGUAGCAGUAUGGGACUAAACUUCCCACACUUCCCAUCACUUGCCGUACACAUGCAUGGUCCUUAGAGAUUAACUAGGGAUUAUUGUCUUAUAUGGGCCUAAGCCCAUCCAUAAUCCAUCAAUCCCCCACCAGAUCUCGAGGCACAUAAGUUUGUCAACUGUUCCAAACAAUGUUUGAUAUACCAGAAUUUUCAGUGCAGACUGUUAAGUUGAACUUCCACCUAGAGCAAUAGGAUUAGACUUCUUCACAACUGAACAAUGGACUAUGCCUUGAAUUGUUAGUUUGGCAUGUAGAAGUUUCGCCUAUUGUCAGCUGAUACGUGGCUGCCGAAGGCUAAACCCCACGGGUGGAGCUUAUUAGUCAUACUCCGUACCUUCUCAUGAGCUUCCUAGAGAUCACCCAAUCUCAUAGACUGUGACCAGCAGCCGGGCUCACAUAGGUGUGUUCCUCCAAAGAAUGCUAUGUAGGUUAGCAUCUUGCUUACAUAAGCUUUGGAAUACAUUAAGACAAAAGUCAGUCUGCCUUACAGAAUUGAGAGUAUUAUUGCAUCUCCAACGGAGUGGGAUAAUUAAGGAUACUCUCCUCAGUUGACCGCUGGAUUGUUUUCCCAGGUCCUAAUUCACGGGAUCUCCGAUCACAUAGGUUGGGUUACCCCCAUGGCAACUUACGUGGGUCUCAUACCCAUCUCCCUCGAUGCAUUUUCUAUCACAAUCCGUGAUAGCCCUUUCGUAAAAGGGUCUGCCAGAUUCUUAGCCGUCUGGAUAUAAGCCAACGCUAUUACUCCAGAGUUUCUUGAUUUUGUGACAGAUUUUAAUCUUCUUCUUAUGUGCUUUGUGGAUUUCAUAUUGUCCUUUGAACUCUUAGCCUUGGCAAUCACAGUUUGAUUGUCACAGUUCAUGAGGACAGCUAGAACUGGUUUAUCAACGACCGGCGAAUCCAUCAAAAGCUCUCGAAGCCAUUCUGCUUCGACGCAUGAUGUGUCUAAUGCUGUGAGUUCUGCUUCCAUAGUCGAUCUGGUUAAGAUCGUCUGCUUGCAAGACUUCCAGGAAACAGCACCAUCACCAAGUGUGAAGACGUAUCCACUUGUGGCUUUCAUCUCAGCAUCAGAUAUACAGUUAGAAUCACUAUACCCCUCAAGUACCGUCGGGUACCCAGAAUAGUGAAUCCCGUGGUUCACAGUACCUUGGAAAUAGUGCAUCACUCGCUCAACAACAUGCCAAUGCACAUCUCCCGGAUUGGAAACAAACCGGCUCAGUUUGCACACAACAAAUGAGAUGUCAGGGCGAGUAGCACAAGCUAGGUACAUGAGUGAACCAACCACUUGAGAAUAUCUCAAUUGAUCUACAACCGUGCCUUCGAACUUUUGAAUCCGCACGCUAGGAUCAUAUGGUGUUGCAAAAGGUUUGUAGUUCGAAUAACUAAAAUGGCUCAAAAUCCUCUCAACAUAGUGGGAUUGCAAAAGUGUAAUUCCACCCUCAGUAUUUCUCAAUAGCUUAAUGUUCAAGAUAACAUCAGCUACGCCCACGUCUUUCAUCUCGAAAUUAUGAGAUAAAAAGGCCUUGACCUCCUCAAUUACUUUGAGGUGGGUCCCAAAUAUCAGUCUGUCAUCGACAUACAGACACAGUAUUACUCCUUCGCCCCCACCAUAGCGAUAGUAUACACAUUUGUUAGCUUAGUUAACAAUAAAGCCAGCAAAUGUCGAAGUUGUAUUAAACUUCUCAUGCCAUUGCUUAGGCACUUGUUUCAGGCCAUACAAAGAUUUCACUAGAUUACACACCUUUCUUUCCUGACCAUUUACUACAAAGCCAUCCGGCUGUUGCAUGUAAAUUUCCUCGUCUAACUCUCCAUUAAGGAAAGUCGUCUUAACAUCCAUCUGAUGAACGAGAAGACCAUGCGAGGCAGCCAAAGCGAGUAACACUCGAAUGGUUGUUAGCCUAGCCACAUGUGAGUAAGUUUCGAAGAAAUCCUCUUCUUCCUUUUGGGAAUAACCCUUGGCCACAAGCCUAGCCUUGUACUUCUCAACAGUACCAUCGGGCCUUAGCUUCCUUUUGAACACUCACUUACAUCCCAAUGGUUGGCAACCAUAAGGACGAUCAGUGAUCUCCCAUGUCCCGUUAGCCAUGAUGGAAUCCAUCUCGCUAUGGACAACAUCCUUCCAGUAGUCAGCAUUCGGAGAUGCAUAAGCUUCUGAAAUGGAACUAGGAGUGUCGUCAUCCACGAGGUACACGAGGAAAUCAUCACCAAAAGACUUUGCAGUCCUUUGUCUCUUGCUCCUAACAGGAGCUUCCUCGUCAUCCUCUGAUGAAAUUUCAUCACUUUUGUGUUCAUAAUAUUCCAUCGGAAUGGCAGCUUCAGGAGUCUCAUCAGAUUCCAGUCUAGAACUGCUUUGCAUAUCUCUCAUGGGGAAAAUAUUCUCAAAGAAUGUAGCAUCCUUAGACUCUAUAAUUGUACCGACCUUCUGGUCAGGUACCUUAGAUUUCACCACUAGAAAUCUAUAGCCAACGCUAUUCUUAGCGUAGCCCAAAUUAACGCAGUCCACGGUCUUUGGUCCAAGCUUACACUUUUUGGGGAUUGGUACAUUGACUUUCGCCAAACAGCCCCAAGUGCGCAAGUAAGAGAGUGUAGUUUUUUUCUUUUCCCAUUGCUCAUAGGGAGUAGUCUCAUUAUCCUUCGCGGGAACUUUAUUCAGGACAUGACAUGAUGUCAAUACAGCCUCCCCCCACCAUGCCUUGGAUAAACCCGAUGUAUCUAACAUGGCGUUAGCCAACUCUAUUAGAGUACGGUUUUUCCGUUCGGCAACCCCGUUUGACUGGGGUGAAUAGGGAGGCGUCCUCUCAUGAAUAAUACCAUGUUCCGCACAGAAUAAAUUGAACUAACUAGAAAAGUACUCUCCACCACGAUCAGACCGGGCUCGUUUUAUUUUCUUCUCAAGUUGGUUCUCAACUUCAGCCUUAUAGAUUUUAAAAUAGUGUAGAGCCUCAUCCUUUGUAUUUAACAAAUACACACAACAGAAUCUUGUGGAAUCAUCAAUCAAAGUCAUGAAGUAUUUCUUUCCACCUUUAGUCAACACACCAUUCAUCUCACAGAGAUCUGAAUGUAUGAGCUCUAGUGGUGCCAGGUGUCUCUCCUUCGCAGGCUUGUGAGGCUUAUGAGGUUGCUUUGCUUGAACACAAGCAUGGCACUUAGAGCCUUUGGCUAAAGUGAAAAUCGGGAUUAGAUUCAUCUUAGCUAGCCACGUCAUACAACCGAAAUUUAUAUGACAAAGACGUGAAUGCCAAACCUCACAUUCAUUCACACUGGAAUGAAUUUGGUUCACGACUUUAUUACAGAAAUCCUCCAGGGAAAGGCGAAACAAACCACCACACUCAUAUCCUUUUCCAACAAAAAGUCCAUGACGAGAUACGACUACUUUGUUAGACUCAAAUACUAACUUAAACCCUUAUUUACAUAGAAGGGAACCACUAACGAUAUUCUUCUUGAUGGCGGGGACAUGCUACACGUUCUUCAGUUGCACGAUCUUUCCCGAAGUAAACUUCAGAUCUACCAUGCCAACACCAUGAACAGAAGCAUGCGAGCCGUUCCCAAUUAGGACGGAACAAUCUCGUGUGACCUGGUAAGAAGAAAACAAAGACACAUCGACACACAUGAAUAUUGGCCCCAGUGUCAACCCACCAAUCAAUGGACUGACAAACUGAAAGUAUGGUAAACAGAUUACCAUACCCUGAUGCCGCAUCAUUGUUGCUUAGAGUCACAUUGACAGACUUAGCGUCUUGUCCUGGCUUCUUAUACUUGGUUGGGCACUUGUUUGCCCAAUGUUCCUCUGAACCACAAGUAAAGCAGCCAUCUCUCUUCUUAUCUUUCUUCUUACCCUUCUUCUUAAAGGUAGUAUUCUGCUGGACAGAGUUCUUUCCCUUGAACAUGUGGAAGUUCUUAUGCACCACAUUGGCGCUAGAAGAACCCUCUGCCCCUUUCACGUGUGAGUCCUUUGCUCUCGAGUUAUGCUCAACACUUAGAUGACCGAUGACAUCCUCAACGGAGAAUUCACGUCUCAAGUGCUUGAGAGAAGUAGCAAAGUUCCUCCAUCUAGGAGGGAGCUUUGCAAUAAUGCAACCGCGACAAACUUGUCCGGUAACUCACACUUCAGGAGCUCCAGCUCCUUAGAGAUGCAUUGUAUCUCAUGGGCCUGGUCCAAUACAGAACGGUUAUCAACCAUUUUGUAAUCAUGGAACCGCUCCAUAACAUACAGCUCGCUUCCAGCAUCGGUUGCGCCGAACUUAGCUUCGAGCGCAUACCACAAAUUCUUGGCGACACACAUAUGGAGAUAUGCGUCAACUAGCUUGUCUCUGAUCAUAGUAAGAACGGCUACCACAAAGAUGGUGGUUGCCUCCCUAAACACAUUCUCCUGUUCAGGAGCAAUCUUUAUCGUGGGAGACACACCACCAACCCAGAACACGUUCAUUGCUGUGAGCCACAAGGUAGUCCUCGUCUGCAAACACUUAAAAUGUGUUCCAGUAAACUUUUCCGGUUUCAAAGUAGCGGCGAAGCCAUGAGUCGAAAAGUGGCUAAAAUAAGGUUUUUGGAUUGUUGGAAAUAUUAGCACUUUUUCGACUAAUCAAAUCCACGAGUAAACAGUAAGCAUGGCAAAUACGGUAUGCAUCUCAUACCGAUACCUAAGCAGGUGAGCACGUACAUUACAUAGAAACGAAACAUCUAUGAACAACAUAUAUACGACCAGCACAUGAACGAGCAGAUAGGGGAUGAACGAGUCAUACCCUCCGGUUGGCCAGGCCAACACGGCGGCGGCAGCAGCAGCCUCGGCAUCAGCCAAGGCCUUCUUCUUGGCGACUUCGUCGGUGUCCAUGGAGUCGAUGUAGAGGAAGUAGUGGAAGCAGAGGCGGACUAAGACGAGGACAGAUCAGGAGUAGUCGCGUCAAGACGCUCCCCAAAAACCUUAUUGUCGUUCUCCCGGGCAGGAUCUCGAAUGACAGGGUUCUGGAGGCACCUGCUCUCCCGACUAACCAUGCACGUGGUCGUCGGGAUGGGAUCGCCGGAAGCAGCACAGAGAGAGGAACAGUAGAUGACGGCUAGGGUUGUACGAGAGGGAGUGAGUGAACUGAGUUAGGGUUCACUCCACUGGCGAGCGCCUUCUUAUAUAGGCCGUCAGGUAGAUGGGCCUAGGCCAGGCCCACGACCGAGUCCGCGAACAACCCACGGUCCAACGUCUCGGACAGUGGCGCUUUCGUAAGCGACUCGUUAAUUAAUUAACAAUUAGUUAACCAUUCCCAAGCGGUGAUACGUCUCCAACGUAUCUAUAAUUUAUGAAGUAUUCAUGCCAUGUUUACAACAAUUUUAUAUGGUUUUGGUAUGAUUUGCAUGGAACUAACCCAGACUGACGUUGUUUUCAGCAGAACUACCAUGGUGUUGUUUUUUGUGCAGAAAUAAAAGCUCUCGGAAUUGGACGAAACUUUUUGACAAAAAUUUUUGGAACAAAAGAGACCCCCGAAGCUUUGUGGGAGGGCCAGAAGAGCCACGAGGAGGGCACAACCCACCAGGGCGCGCCAGGUGGGCCGUCCGUGCCCCGGUGGGUUGUGCUCACCUCGAGGCCCAUCUUCGCGUGAUUCCAACUCUGAAAAAUACUAUAAAUACCAAAACCCCCAGAAGUUAACCUAGAUCAGAAGUUCCACCGCCGCAAGGCUCUGUAGCCACCAAAAACCAAUUAGACCCUGUUCCGGCACCCUGCCGGAGGGGGGAAUCAUCUCCGGUGGCCAUCUUCAUCAUCCCGGCGGCCACCACGAUGAGGAGGGAGUAGUCCACCCUCGGGGCUAAGGGUUUGUACCAGUAGCUAUGUGUUUAAUCUCUCUCUCUCUCUCUCUCUCUCUCUCUCUCUCUAUCUCUAUCUCUCGUGUUCUUGAGAUGGCACGAUCUUGAUUUAUCGCGGGCUUUGUUAAUGUAGUUGGAUCAUAUGGUGUUUUCCCCUCUCUAUCUUGUUGUGAUGAAUUGAGUUUUUCCCUUUGAGAUUUUGUUGUUAUUGGAUUGAAUACUUUUAUGGAUUUGAGAACACUUGAUAUAUGUCUUGCAAUUGAAUACUCGUGGUGACAAUGGGGUAUCGUAUUGAUUCACUUGAUAUAUGUUUUUGCACUCAACUCGCGGAUUCCCGAGGUGACAUUGGGGUAAUCUAUGCAUAGGGGUUGAUGCACGUUCUUGUCUUUGUUUCUCCGGUAGAAAUCUUGGGGCACUCUUUGAAGUUAUUUGUGUUGGAUUGAAUAUUAUGAAUAUGAAUUUGCUUUGGUUUUAUUUUAGUACGAACUCUAGGAUAGAUCGAACGGAAAGAAUAGCUUUCUGUUAUUUUAGUACGGACUCUUGAAUAGAUCGAACUGAAAGAAUAGCUUUGAGGUGGUUUCGUACCCUACAAACAAUUUAUUCUUAUGUUCUCCGCUAGAUAAGAACUUUGGAGUGAUUCUUCGUUCCACGUUGAGGGAUAGUUAUAUGAUCCAAUUAUAUUAGCAUUGUUGAGAGAUUGCACUAGCCAAAGUACGGACCCUAGGCCUCAUUUUCCAUCAUUGCAAUACCGUCUGUGCUCCGUUUUACUAUUUAAUACCUUGCUGUUUUUUAUUGUUCGCACUGCAAAAACUCAUAUCUACUAUCCAUACUACACUUUUAUCACCAUCUUUUCGCCGAACUAGUGCACCUAUACAAUUUGCCAUUGUAUUGGGUGUGUUGGGGACACAAGAGAUUUCUUGUAUUUGAUUGCAGGGUUGCUUGAGAGAGACUAUCUUCAUCCUACGCCUCCCACGUAUUGAUAAACCUUAGGUCAUCCACUUGAGGGAAAAUUGCUACUGUCCUACAAAACUCUGCACUUGGAGGCCCAACACGAGUCGAUACAAGAAUAAAGUUGCGUAGUAGACAUCAAGCUCUUUUCUGGCGCCGUUGCCGGGGAGGUGAGUGCUUGAAG